ACGAAAGAAGGAAGUUGGUUACGAAAACGUGACCGAACCUCAAAUCUGUGAUAAAAUUUACCGGUUUAAAGUAACGAAGACUUUAAUAACUUUUAAUAAGACCACGAGGAAACUGAUGCCGAUAUUUUAAAGGUCUAAAUUUGGUCAAAACUUGAUUAAAGAGUAUUUUACUGUUUUGUUUACACUCUGUGGAAUCAGUAAUGCCAAAGGAAACAAAGUUGAUCAUAUAUUGACUCUUGAUCCACUUCUUUAAACCCGAAUCGGAACAAUAACAGCGGACUGCAGAUAUUAACUGAUCCAGUGGAACAUUAGCGUUCAGGUUCCGUCAGGUUCGGGACCAGGUUUCAGGAAGAGGGUCUGUCUUCACGUGUCUUAGUGGAUAUAAAUGGACCUCCUGUGGGCACAUCGGAAGCAGAACCAUCUGUGUGAUCCAGGAUUAAAACGGGACAUGGACCCUUGGAUACCAGGACUGAGGUCAGUAAAAAUGUUCGGAUUUAACCUCCAUGUUUGACUCACCUGUGAUACACCUACUGUGAUCAUGUUGGGCUCGUGCUCGGAGGUGUGUACAGGUGUGAGUGACAUGACCCAAUCGGCUGAGAUGAGAGUUGAAACUUUCACUGUUGUAUCGUUUUUUAUUCUCCGUGUUUGUAAGAAGUCGUGACUCAAAGGUGAGAGUAAAAAUCACCUUCAACAGGUCGUUGUUGUUUCUUUAAAGUCUCACCUGAUUCCUGACAGGAAAACAUGAAAAUAUUUAGACUUUACUGUGAAUACAUAUAAUGAGUUUAAUGUUUAUUUAACUUCUAAGUUUACACGAGGACCGUUGCUAUGGAAACGCCACUUUCAUAAACUCUGAGGGACUGUUGCUUCUUUCUGACUGAGUUUCAGUUCAUUUUUAAUACAACACUGCCACCUGCUGGUCACUGAUGGAGGUUUGGAAACCCACAGACUAGUCUGAAAUCCUGUGAAACACAUUAUUAAAUCACCAGAGACAGUUUUUAUUCUGAUAGAUGAUUUCUGUGUAUGAACAUAUAUUUUUAGUUUUAUAUUGUCUCAUUCAUAAAUAUCUUUACAGAUUAUUCGUAAUUGUUUUUUGCUGCAGUUUUCUCCUCAGUCUUUAGAAAUAUUCUCAAUGACAAGUUUUUAAUCACACCUCAUCUUUCCCAGAACUUUAAUUUUAUAUGUUUUAUUUUAAAUCUGAUUUUUAAUCCACAAAGUUUCUUCUUGUGUCACUUUAUAAAUGAAAUACUGAAUCUGUUGGACUCUGAUGAGACAGGCACCAAUAUCCAUACUUCAGUAAGUAAGUAAACUUGAUUUUUAUAGCACUUUUCACAGACAAAGUGCUUCACAUAGACAAGAAUAAAAAUGUACAUACAAAUUAAAAGGCAGAGACAACAACAUUAAACAGUCAUAGCAGCUCCAAAAACAAUUAAACAAAGGCCUGAGCAAAUAAAUCAGUUUUGAGUUGGCUUUUAAAGGAGUCAACUUCAUUCAUUAUAUUGUAGGGACAUCAAUAAUUAUAAUAUUACUAAAAAUAAAAAAAAUAUGUGUAAUAAUAAUGAUAAAAAUAAUAAAGAGUGUAAGUGUCUUAAAAAUUAAAAGUAAAUCACUGCAAAUUAAAAAUAUAGAUGCAGAAAUAUACAACAAUGAAACCUGCUUAUUUAUUUUCAGUUAUUUGAUAUUUUUUUUCCUCUUCAUAAAUGUAUUUAUUGACUCUUCAAUAAAUACUCAGUAAUAAAUUAACUGUAUUAGAAAUGUUCUCAUAACAUCUUUUUUCUUUACAAUAUUUUUUGCGUACUUUAAUCUUUUUUUUUCCUUUUUCAGACAAAUUAUGUGAGACAACAGACAAUUAAAUUUCCCUUUGGGGAUUAAUAAAGUUAUUCUUAUUCUUAUUCUUAUUUAGUAAAAUAUUUAAUAUGCAACAAAAAACAAAUGCUCUUUAAAAUUAAAAAUAAACGCAAGAAAUAAGAAAAUGAGCACGCACUAAAUUAUAAAUGAUAGAUUAUUAUUACAGCUGAGACAUUUUAAUGUUAGCUCUGUGGCUGCAGUUCGUCUUUCAGCCACCAGGUGUCGUCUGUGAGUCAGUUCCUCUUCCACUCUCCUGCGAAAAACUUCUCGACAUAUAAAAAUGUUCACAGUCGGACUUUCAGCUGCUACAGUUCUCUAAACUAAGACCAGAACUUCUCAGUGAAGUCUCUGUGUUUUAUUUAUUUGAGUUUUCUGUCUGAAUGUUGAACUCUGAUGUAGUUUUAAGAGUUUCAGAGGAUCACUGAUAUUCAGGAGUGUGUGAGGCGUUCACCCCUCAGGGUGGAUCAGCAGCACAUUUCAGACUAACAGAACAGGCUUUGAAUUACAUAUUGAUUAAUUUAUUAUUAUUAAUAAUUAUUGAUAAUUGAAACAUUGAAUUUAUUGAAUAACCGUGAAAAAUAUCUGUUAUUCUGUUAUCUUUAAAGUGAGUGAAGCAGUUACAUGAGUAAAAGUAUGAUUCAAAUGUAUAACUGUAUUUUUCUUCAGUCACAUUAUUUAACAUUUAUGUCACAUUUAAAACCCACUAUAUUAAAGUCCAUGUAACCUAAAUUUAUAUUAUUAUUAAACAGUCACGUCUCAGACUCAUUAGAAUUUAUUUUGGACUUACUUUUGUUAGACUUUUUAAAAGUCACCCUGUAGAAAUUUUCUGAUUUAUUAUUUUUUUUCUGCUUUCUUCAUUAGUACACGUCCAAUUUUCAUUUUUUUAUUUUGGCUAAUCAGUGCGACAAACUCAGCUGCAUAUGUGUGAUAUUUGAGUUUUGUUAUUACACUUGAACUUUGACAGUUUUUAAUCAACAAAAAUGUGCAUUAAAUGUCAUUUAUUUUCCAGAAACAGAGGUGGAACCACAAAAUCUAAUACAAGUUUGCAGCGUGCUCACAAGAAUUAAAGUAGGAAUCUGAAGAGUAGGAAAAUAAAACAACUCAUGAAUCCAAAACAAUUUGAUUUUUUGAAUUUAAGAAAAUUAAAAAUUAAUUCACAAAAUUUCUAGAGACAGAAAAUCAGGCUCUGAGUGAAAAUAUGAGCUUAUUGUUGUUUUUUUUUUCAAAGAUAAAAUAUGUUUUUCAAGGAUUAACUGAAGAUCAUUGUAGUUGUAUUUUUCACCAGCAGAGGGCGCAGCGGUGCAGAGUCCAUCUGAAGUUAAAGAACAUGGGGUAGAGUACAGUAAACUGAUUUAUAACUCAUGUUUUACGUUUUUUCAGAUCUAUUAUUCAUUAUUUUAUAAAGGCAUAAUUAUUUUAAUAUUUAAUCUGAGUGUUUAAAAAUGAACUUUGUUUAACUCUGUCGUAAAUUUCUUCAUGUCUUUUUCUAUUUCUUCAGUGUUUAAAAUACAGGUUAACUUUUGGCAGUUCACUUCAAUUGAUGAACAUAAAGGGGGCUAAAAUUGGGUCUUAUAAUCUGUAUAAUAAUAUUUUGAUAUGCUAUAAACUAGACUCCUUACUUUUCUGUAGUUAUUAAGAUAAUUUUCCUGUCUUUUCUUUGCUUUUGUUCUCUUUUAUUUCUUUGCUUCUGUUUUUUUAUUUCUGAAAAUUUGACAGUUUUAAGAUUUAUUUUUUUAUUUUGUUUUAUGCUUAAAAACAAAAUUUAAAAUAACGUCAAAAAAACAAACAAAUAACAAAAAAUAACUUUGAGUGAGUUUUUAACAAUCCAACUCAAAUAAAUAGAUAAAGUUAAAGUCUGACAAACCAUGAAACACACACUAGCGCGCACACACACACACACACACACACACACACACACACACACACACACACACACACACACACACAGAGUAAGCUGUAAUCCGUCUCACAGAGGUGAACAUUUAGGAUCUGUGACGGUGUGAUCAAUAAUUAUGAUCAGUCUGAGUGACACGACCUUGCAUGUGCAUCAUUACACACACCUCUUAAUGUGUGUGUGUAACAGAGGUGCUGUUAAUAUUGACUUGUGUAAUUGUGUGUAUUAUUCUCAGUGAGUCUCUAUAAUCACCUAAACUGAGGAAUUAUGGGACUUUUGACUUAAACCCUCAUUCCUGGGAGAUUUUCUCUGGUUAUAUAAACGAGUUCGGUCACUUAGACUUUACUUUAUCUCCACCGAUGAGAUUUAAACAAUAAUUAGUUUCAGAUGGAAUUAAAAAUGAGUCAGUUAUCUUUGAGGCGUCACAGACUUUCCUUUUUUAAGGAUCUGUAAUAAAAACUCAACAUUUUAAAACUUAAAGCCAGCGCAGCAGAGGCGAAUCCAAGAGGUGGUCAUGGCCCUUAAAGUCUAAUCGGCCCCCCUGAUGGAAACUCCAAAACCCUAAACUACAGUAUCUGUCUGGCCAUGUCAGAGGUCAGACUCAUGUUUAAGGGAUAGCAGCCGCUUGUUUGUAGCAAGACCUCAGGCCAGUCCGUUACAGACUACAGUGGGGUGACACAGCUCAAGGAAGAACAUUUAUGAUCAUUUCCUGGAAGUAAUAAUCAACAUAUCAAUCAAUUUUCACUGCAGACGCGGUAGUUCUUCUGCCUUAGCGUCUCGGUCUGAUUGUAUUUCCAUGAAGAAAUUAUCAGAAAUGUUCCUCCUUGAGCUGCAGCACCCCGCUGUAGUCCGUAAAGGACUGGCCUGAAGUCUCGCUACAAACAUCGGCUGCUGGAAGAGAGUAGGUGAGUUGUGUUUAGUCUCUUUGCUAAAGAAAUGAGUCAAAGUUAAAAAUUUGUUUGGUGUCUAGUACUAUGGCUGUGACCCUAUAUGUACUAACCUCAGUAGAUCAUGGUGUAGUUCCGUUCAGUAAGAGAACCUCAUUGGAAAAUUAGCUGAUUUAACUUUACUGUGCUCUUGUUCAAAUAUACUAACUGGACAGCACAUAUAUCUAUACCUGUUAACAAAAUCCAGAUUUUAUUGAUAAAUCGGCUCAAUAAAAACACCUUUACCUUUUCAUUUUACUACAGCAACAUUCAUCUCUGGAGUGGGUGUCUAACUCAGGUGUGUUUGACCCUAACUUAAUUUUACGCCGGAAUAUCCCUUUAACAGCACUGAUGGCCUUAGUCUCUCUGUCCGACGACCUUGGUUGAAAAUUAAAGACAAAACAAAGAUCCAAUAACUGCAGUUCCUUGAGUGUCCACUAGAGGCUGACUCCUAAAAUGAGUGACCUCCCAUAGAGCUCCAUGUUAAAAUGUUUACAGCCUGGUAUAAAAGUUAUUCUGGUUACUUCUGCUCAUGACAGCUGUUAAUAAAGUAUGAUGUAACAUAAUCAGGGGUGUGGCCUCUUAGAGUGACAGGUGGGAGCUGCUACAUGUCAUCUCAGCUGAUUGAGUCAGUCUGUGGGUGUGUCAGUGGAGUUUUUUCCACAUAAAUAUAUCUAACAGUCCAGUUUCAGCUCUCUGUGAAAUCCUCGCUUCAUUUCUUAUUUUUAUGUCGUUGCUAAUUAGCAGCUUUCUGUGUCUGAGCUCACUGCCGCUGACCUGAGUCUGAUUUAUCUCAAAGUCUGUUUUUCACCAGGUCAGGCUGAAAGGUAGAAACAUGAAACGGUUUAAAGGGUGAGGAUGAAGAGAGGGACGGUACAGUGUGGGGGGAGGAAGGUUUUAAGAGGGUGAUGGAGGGAUGAGACGCAGAGAGAGAGAGAGAGAUUUUCAUCUGUAGCAGAGAGGGCUCCUCAUUUUUCCUCCCGACCUUACAGUGACCUGACAUGGAUGGAGAGAAAAGGAGAGAGAGAGAGAGAGAGAGAGAGAGAGAGAGAUCAGGGUAGUUAUUGUUUGUCAUUUUUCCUCCCCAAUUUCCAGCCUAAUGAAGACACUCAUUGGCUGAAGAGGAAUCAGAGGGAGAAGGUGUGUGUGUGUGUGUGUGUGUUCGUCCUACACAGGUUACCAUGACAACACAUGUGAUGUCAUGUGUUAGCCUUGGGUAGAAGGUGACUGUGUUUGUGUGUACGUUCAUACUGCUGCACGUGUGUGAGCCAAAGUUUCUGAUUCGACCUUUUUAUCCGAUUUAUCUUCGACUGAAAUCUCCCAGAUUAAAAUAUAAUCCUGCUGAUUACAUAAGAUUCAACACUAUAAGACACAAUAGCAGCAUAAUGACAGUGUGAGAGUAAAGAAUAGGAAAUAACCAUGAAGUCGUGUUUACUAAGUUUAGAUAACAAGACAAAACACUGCGAUACAAAACGACAGGAGUGUAAUUAGAAAAGAUCAAACAGAAUAUAAGACAGUCAUGUGACACACGACUGUUCAACACAACAACAUGAUAGGGAAUAUGGUGUAAUUAUUACUGUAUGAUAUGAUACUUUACAGUGUGAUAUAAUUGGUUAAAUAUGAUAUGAUUGAAUCCAAUAUGAUACUAUAAGAUACAAGACGAGACAGUAUGAUAUUUGAUGUGAUUGGAUACAAAGCUACAUGAUAUCAACAAUAGGAUACAAGACUAAACUAUGCAUUAAGAUAUGAUGUGAAAUGAUACGACACAGUAUUGUUCAGUGAUAUAAUAGCUUGAUGAAGUUCAACAUAAUAUCAGUUAAUAGAUGAACAUGUAAUUUUACUCACUAAGACCUGACUCUGACUCUUCAUGAUGAUAUCAGCUGUUUGCCUCAUUGACUUCCAUUAAUCUCCAUGUUAUUGAUUUAGGUACAGUUAAAUAUUACAUGAUAGACUAUCGUACAGUCUGAUGGAUUUAGUAUCACCGAACUCUGAGUUGCUUAAUCUGAUCUAAUCUGAAAAACACCUUUCAGUCCAGUAUGUAGAGCGCUCAGUGAGGUCUGUUAAAGCAGCAUGGGUGACGCUUUAUGGAUCAGUUUUUAUAUUUAGUUUUUAGUUUUUGUUUUUUAUCUAUACUUUUGUAAUUUUUGUUUAAAAAUUUUUUUUUGGUUUAUUAUCUUCAGUUUUUAAUUUUAUUUAUUUAUUUUUUAUCUUUUAAUUGUUUAAUUUUUAUGGUUUAUCUUUAAAUUUAAAUUUUUUUAUUUUUUAUCUUGAAUUUGAUUUUUUAUCUUUAGUUUUUUUAUAUUUACUUUUUUUUUAGGUUUUAUCUACAUUUUUUUUAUUUUUGUUUUUGAUUUAUCAUUAGUUUUUUUUAUUUACUGUUUUUAUUUUUAAUUUUUUUUAUCUUUAGUGUUUUAUCUUUAGUUUUUAUUUUUUGUGUUUUUAUUCCAAAUUUACUACAUUAAUUUUGUUUAUCUUUAUCUUUUUUUAUAUUUAUUUUUUUUAUUUUUAGUUUGUUACCUUUAGUUCUAUAAUCUCAGUCUCUCUUAUGUCGUCAUAUUUCUGUCAGGUAUUGUUUAAUUAAAUUUAGGGUUGUCUACACUUUUUCUAUCAUUCCUCUUCCUCCCUCUUGUUAAUUUGUUAAUCCUUUCCUCUCUUUUUUUUCCAAAUCCUAACAGACUUGUUGUUUUUUUUUCUUUUUCUACCUUUUUCAUCUUUUUUUAUAUUUCCAUCGUCAUGUUUCUUCUCUGUGAGCUGGAGCGACCAGAAGGUGCUCAUUUGGUUUAUCUGCACACACACUAACACAUUUAAUGCAUGGCAGCAUGCUGCGCUGCAUGCCCCCAGGGUGUGUGUGUGUGUGUGUGUGUGUGUGUGUGUGUGUGAUGGAGAAUAGGAAGCGAGUCGUUGCCCUGCUGUUGAACCCUCUACGUUUCUGCCCUCCUCUUCCAUCUCUCUGUCGUUGCUGAUGUACGCCGCUCGUUGAACGGCGCCUGAAACCCUUCCUUCCUCUCAGAUCCAUUUCCAAACAUCAGAAUAAACUGGAGGAAUAAAGAGAAGUGCUUUUGUUGACUGUGUUUGGGUUCGUCUCUGCUGAUAAGACGUCUUCAUGUUCGUGUCUCAGCGAUAGAGAUCAGCGUGUCGAUAUGCAUCUGUUAAUGUUGACACGCUGCCAAUAAAGUUGGUUCAACGCCGACAUAACGCUCUUGUUUGUAUCUUAAACUAUGCAUCCAGACUUCUACGGUGGCCCUGAGGGGAGAAAAAACAACAACGCUUCAAAACUCAGUUGUGUACGUUUGGACUUAUCUGUGUCUGGAUGAGUUUGUCGGUAUCGACUCUGAACUCUGAACCAAUCAGGCGUCACGUACUUUACAACAAUUAAAGGGAAGUUCCGCUUUAAUCAGUCCCUCCAGGCGAAGACGGGUCAAAGUCGGUCUGUUGAUUAUUUAUACGUUUGUUUUGAGUUUUAAUAUAAAUCAGAUAUUUUUCAUUAUUCCUUAAAAAGCUUCAAAUCAAAAAGACACUAAACGUCUGUGAGCUGCGGCGAACAAUAACCUUAAACCAACGUGAGUUUCCUUUUGAUCCGCUCCAUACAACAGACGACGAGGCGACCUUUGACCCCACGCUGCAGAGGACUGAGUUUGACCCCAGACUGACCGCGCUGUGACCCCACAGGACAGGAAGUGAAGACGGCGUUCAUGUAGGUCUGAAUGUGUGUCUCUGUGAGGAGCAGGACGGAGAUCAGGGAGGACGGCGGCGGAGGUUAGGGCGUUAAGAUGGCCGACGGGGUCUAAGAUGGCUGCUGUGGAGGCGAAGGGGGCGCAGUGGGGACGUCUCAUAUCGUCUUUAUGUCGUUGCGUUUCUUUGCAUCUUCAGAGGGAGGGGUUAGGACGUAAAGACGGGAGGAAAGCGUGGGAAGCAGCUUCACAAACACACGUGAAUUUUCUGACUUUUACCUGCUGCGUCAGCUCGCCACGACGUCUGUCCGACUCUCCUCCUCCUCCUCCUCUUCCUCCUCUCAUUGUUUCUAACAGCAAAUAUCCACACUCUGAAAAAAGCAGCAGCUGCUCUCUCACUGACGCUCGGUCCUGAUUCUGUCGCUUCACAGUCAGGAUAUUAAAACCUCUGUGAGAAUUUUCAGACUAAAAUAAAUCAGCUCAUUAAUUUUUACUUUUAUUUGUCUUUAAACUAAAUUAAAACAUCCAGUUUUCAACUAAAGACGUGACAGUUUCUGUGUAAUCUGUGUCUUUAUUUUAUUUUAUUUCAUUGUAUUUAUUUAUUUAUCACAGAUUAAAAACAGAGCGAGGAGGAAAUGAAGCCGAUGGGAGUUUACAGAGGUCCACUCCCGUCAGGUCAGUGAAGGCGUAGGGUGACAAAGUAACUCAGACAUAGACGGGUUAUAAAUAUACAAUGAUUAGGGAAAGGUCAAACAGACACAAAUUUUCAUAAAUAAAACACAAACUAAUCAUCAAACAGCGUUAGAGACGAUCUAAGUAUUUAUAAAAAGGAAGGAAACAUGAUCAUAACAGAUAAUGACGUAUUUAAGACGUGAUCAGAUGAGAUUUUAAAGAUAUUUUUAAGGAUUUGAAGGAUGAUAUUGAUUUUAAAGAUGAAUCCAGAUUAUUCCACAGUUUCAGACCUCUAAAAGUGAAAUUAGACUGAUGACUAGAAGUUCGACAUGAAGGUAACUGAAGAUGGUCAUUUUGUCUUGUUUGUCGUUUUCUCCGUAAAUAAAAUCUAGGAUGAGUUCAUGGUUGUUUGUUUUUCUGCAGAGAAAGUCCGACAUGAUGCAAAGAUGUCUCUGAGUGAACACAGACGGUUUAAAACCAGCUCUGAUUCGAGGCGUGGGUCUGUCGGUCGUCUUUACGGUGAAACCCUCGAGUUUAAAUCUAGAUUACGUCCCUCUGAGCUCUAAUUUAAUCUGGAAUAAUCUCAUUUACCGAAAUCUGAUCCUAUUAUUUGAAAAAGUUGAUCAUAAGAUCAUCAAACAUGUUAAAUUUGUCUCCUCAGAUUGUGGAUUUAUCGUAUUAAAGAGCCGCGCCGUCCUCCUGACCCCGGACUGAACCUGCAGCCUGGGAGCCGACCUCAGGCUGAACCGGGCUGGGGUCAGAGGUCAGGGUUGAAGGCCGGGUCUGUGAGCCUGAUCAGAGGGUGCAGAGGUGAAGGCCGGGUCAGAGUCCUGAGGGGGAGAAGAUGAGUAUCCUGCUGGACAAACUGAGGUACUGCAGCUGAGAGGACGGAUCAGAGCGAAUAGAAGCUGCAGGGUCUGAGUUUCUAUAACAACAAUAAACAAACACAUGAUUGAUCAUUUAAUAUUGAUCAUAUUUACAUUAUUAACGUUUGUGUUCAGAGAAAAAAAUCAUCUUUGGUUCAGAACAAUAAUCUCACACUAAAGAUGAAAAAUGAUUUUAGUAAAACUGAAGAAUUAAAGAGUAAAAACAUGAUAAACUUAUUCAGUUUCUUUGUUGUAUAAAAGUCCCUCAAAGUUGUAAUAACACACAACAGCAUUAACACACACACACACACUCACACACACACACAAACUCAGAGCCGUCAGAGCGUCAGCCGAGGGAUCGAACGAUCAAAACAAGAGGAGGAGGAAGAGGACGACCCGCUUUACCUCAGAGUCAAAACCGAUCUGGAAUAAAGAUAAAAACCAACUUCUGCACAUGUUUGAAAUUUCCCCAAAUUUAUUCUUUAAAUUCUUUAAAUUCGAUCCUGUUAACCUUCAGGAGGAGUGCGUUCUCUCUCUGUUUGUCUUUAAAUAAUCUGAAGUUUAAACACAAACGUCUCUUUCUUGAAUAAAAACUGAACAGAUUUCUCUAAAAUCUCCACACGGCCGUAACGACAGUGGACUUUUAAUUCUUCAGACAUUUUUAAAUCCGAAUUUAAAGAAAGAAACAAAAAAGUGUUUGUUAUAGAAAGUAAGAAAAAGAGUUAAUGCACAAAUAUAUGAAAAGGAACAAUUAUAUAAUUAUUUUUAUUCACUCACUUUUUUAAACGUUUAUUAAAGUUCCUUAUUUGAUCUUUUAAAAAUUUGGUAAAACUGAUUUAAAGUUUGUAGUUUUUUUUAUAUUCUUACAUUAAAUGUUAAAAUACUGUUUCCUCAUAUCUUGUUUAAUUUUUUUCUAUAAAUCAUGUAAAAAUAACAGGAACACCAUAUAUGGUCAAGCUUUAAAGUAAAACAAAAUCUACUGUAUAUAAAACAAACAUUUUUAUAUUUAUAAAUAGGUUUAUAUAAGUAUACAUAAAAAUAAAAAUCAUGUUCUUAUGUACACAUAAAUAUAUGUAAAGAUAUAUAUUUAAGGAAUUGUUUUAUAUUCAAAAUAAAUAAAUUAUAUAAAUAAUUGACUUACAAAUUACAAUAGAAUAUGUAAAUAAAUAUAUAAUUAUAUAUUUAUAAAGAAUUAUAAAUAGGUGCAGAACAGCUAAAAUUGUACAGAGAUGACCUUUUUAUACAUAUUUUACAUUUAUCUACCGACCCUGGGUUUUCCCAGACCAGCUGAGAGACCAGGUCUAUCUAGCGUGUCCCGGGUCUUCCCCGUGGUCUCCUCCUGGUGGGACGUACCCUGAAUACCUCACCAGCGAGGCGUCAGUGAGGCAUCCUGAUUAGACACUCGAACACCUCAUCUGACUCUUCUUAAAAAGUAGUACAAACAUAUAUAUAUAUAUAUGUUAUACAGUUAUAGUUAUAUAAGUUAUACAAAGAGAAUUAAAACAGCUAAAACUUUAAAUAUGUAUAAAUUACUGAACACUUAAGAUAUUAUUUACACACACGACUGUUUGUUUUUUUACUUUGAGAAAAUAUGAUCCUGUUAUUUAUUUAAUGACGUAUUUUUAUGUAACUGUGGGAGAGAGCAGCUGUUUGUAUGAAGGACCAGCCGCUGUAUGCUAGGAGAGGAGCGCCCCCUACAGGACAAACUCAGAACAGUGGAGGAGAUGUACAGUUUGAUUGAUAUGAUAGAGACAGAAAGUAGAAGAAAAUAAUAUUAGAUCUUAACUUGGCUUUAAAUAACAUCAUGAUUAAGGAGGAGAAGAAUCUAUAUGAAUACAUCUACGUAUAUAACAGAGAUCAGUGUGUGUGUGUGUAUGUGUGUGUGUGUAGAUGGUCCAGUCUCUGUAUUUGACCCGUCACCGACCCCAAAGGCUGAGAUUUGACCGCAGAGUGACUCUUUCCUCUGUUGCCGUAGAAACAAAGCGACCCCAGACUGACCCCCCCAGGCUGACCUCCCCUCAGGGCUGCUGACCACCUCUGUUUGUGUGUUUGUAUGUGCGUACACGGAGCAGCCUCCUCACACGGGGGAGGCGGAGAGUUUGAAUCCAGAAACUAAGAAAAGUGUCGUACUGUCCCUUUAAGAGGAUAAAAGAGUGAUUAUGAGUGUGAACGAAUGACCCGACGGAGGAAACAAAAGAGAGGAAGAGAGGAGUGUGGAGAGCGAGAGAGAGGGAGAAAGUGAGACGAAUGAGGAGUCAGAGGUCAGAGGUCGCAGAAGAGCCUCUUUAUGUGUGUGUAUGUGAGGAGGGGAGUGCUCUGUGACCUUUGACCUCUGGACUUCCCUCUCUAAUAGACAAAGUGACUAAAUACACAUCAGGACAAUAUGGCUGACUCGGUGUGUGUGUGUGUGUUUUAUGUUUUCCUCCUGAAACAAACAGCAGACUCAUCUUCAGUUCCUCUGUUACACGCCGACAGUGGGAAGGACAAAGGUCAAAGGUCACCACAUGAUCGUGAGGGGUGAUGAGCGGUCAGUAUGUGGGUGUUGCUGCCACCAGGUGGCAUAAAAGAGCAGCAGAGAGGUGGAUUUUUGUACUCAUAAUUAUAUUCAGAGUUUAAAGCAGUUAUGGUAAAGUGAUGGUGCAGUUCCUCGAGUGUCCACUGGAGGCUGUGUCCUAAAGUGAGUCAUUCCCCAUAGGAUCACAUGAUGCGAAACAAUCAUGUUUACAGCCUGUCUCUGACAACUGUACAGACUGAACUUUAAUAUAACUCACCUGUUUAAUUACUUUAAGGUUUAACGAUAAGGGGGCGUGGCCUCCUUGAGUGACAGGUGGAUGAGAGGUGAACUGCAGAGAUAACAGCUGUUCUCAGAACCAGGCUGUGAACACAUUUAGCAUUUUAACAUGGGGCUCUAUGAGGACUGACUCACUUCAGGACACAGCCACUAGUGGACACUCGGGGAACUGCAGGUUUUCUCAGUUUGUCCAGCCUCUGAAUUCUAACCUCUAGGUUGUGUUUGUGGUUUUGGAAACUUUUGAAGACUUUUUCAUGUGAAUAUAAUAGAAUUGAUCCGUCUUACUGUUCACUUUAUUAGACCAACAGACCGUUCAAAAAGACCCACAGACAGUUUUAAGACUCACUUGUGCUCCUUUUAUGCAUGAAAACAGAUCUGUACAUUACCCCUAAUUUUUACCACAUCCAGAAUUACUCCAAUCCGGAAAGGUGGAGAUUUUCACCGUCCACCGAUUCCUACCGGAUUCGUUUGUGAGGUGAAUUUUGUGUCGGAUUACAGACAGCAGGUAUUGUGAGAACUCACAAGAACCCGUGGAUUCAUGUUCAAUCGCACGAUAACGAGUUGUCUCUAUAAAGACAGACACAUAGACAUAUAAGCAGUAGAUUGUGUCCUUCCAGAGGAGGAAAUCUACUUCUAGACUUCUAGAAUCAGCAUCUCCUCAUCCAUGGUGUCAUCGGGGUGAAAUGACGUCUAAAAACCUUUCACUUGGAUGUUUUAUUUUGUGUCUGUGCCCGACUUCCUUUCCAGCACGGGUUAAUCUGUGCUGAAUUUAUCCGCCAUGCUCCGGCGUCCAGAAAAAAUAGAACUCUUGAUCAGCUGAGGAGUCCGGCGAUCCGCAGAGGAACGGAAAGAAGUCGGUGUAAAUUGACACGUUAACUUGAAUGGUUACGAUCAGCUACGAUCGGAGGAUACGACCUUUUAGGAGACGAUCAGGAUGUGGUGGAAAUUAGGGGUUUAUACACUUAACAUCUCGCAUGUUUGCUUUGUUUGAAUGGACAUUAAGUAAUAUAUCCACUAGAGGGCACCACUCAGAAUAUUUUUUAAAGGUUUUAGUUGUUUUCUGGAUUUGUGAAUAACUGGCACCACUGUAGCCGUGAUAUUUGGUGGUACUGCAGACAAAAAUGUCUAAAGCCUGAGAAGAUGUGCAGAAAUAUAGAAGAAAUAAACACUGAUAGUUUUACAAUUUCUAUAGAAACUCGCAACCGGAAGAAUUUCAUUAAAGGAAAGAUCAGUUUGUCCACAGGUGGCGCCACAACUGAGACAAACCAAAGGUUCCUCACAGGAGCUUUAAGUCCCGCUCUUGUUUAUGGAUUUACUCGUUGCAUGUUGGAACAUGAGUGAAUGAAACUAAGACCUUAUUUUGAAACAAUAACCUCUCGACAGUGUGACUAUAGAGCUGCAAAGAUUCAGGAUCCUAAACUCGUUUGUUUUUCUGCAGUUAUUGUCGAGUUUAUUCUCUUUAACUCUGAAAGGUAGAGGCUCAGAGGAGCUGAGCGCCAUCUGACAGUAAAACCAACAAGGAGUCGAAUGUAAGAGCUCUCUAUCCUGUUAGUCUUUGUUUGUAAUUAACGCUGGGAUGUAAAGGCAGUAAUCCUGCAGAAUAACCGGCGACUUUAAUUAGUAAUGUUGUCCUGCACCGUCAGACGGGCUGGAGUAAAGACUCGGCUGCUGUCCUCCUCGUCUGCUCCGAGUCCGUUUAAUCUGAGUUUGUCACAUUUUAGAGACGGAUCGACUCGGUUUAGUGAGGAGGAAAUGGUGUUUACUGUAACUUUAUAAAGAAAUAAACACAAGAGGAAGGAAGGGAGGGGUGAGGAAGACGAGGAGCAGAGGGAGGAGGAGAUGUGAAGAUGGAGAGAGGAGAGAGAGAGAGAGAGAGGAAGAGAGGAGGAGAGGAAGAGGGAGGAGGUGCAAGGAGAGCAGAUGGAUGAUGCUAUUGGACAGUAUUUCAUGUCCGACUGUGCCGCCUGCCACUGGGCACGCAGCGGGGUGUGUGUGUGUGUGUGUGUGUGUGUGUGUGUGUGUGUGUGUGUGUGUGUGUGUGUGUGAGAGAGAGAGGAAGCAUACAUGUUAUCCUUGAGUUACGAAACCAGAAGUGUGUGUGUGUGUGUGCGUGUGUGUGUGUGUGUGUGUGUGUGUGUGUGCCCACUGUGAGAUUAAUUUGGCCCAAUUAAUUAGGAUGAGACCGAAAUGAGACGAGGACACAGCUGAGCUCAUCCCUCCUUCCUUUCCUUACCUCCUUUCCUUGCCUCCUCCCCUCUUUCACCUGCAGGUUUACAUUAUCUAGAGUUUGAAUCAUAUAAAUUCAUGUUUUAAUGCACACUAUACAACCUUCACACACACACACACACACACACACACACACACACACACACACACACACACACACACGCACACACACACAGAUGGUUGAUGGAAUUACAAGCUUUUAGUACAAAAAUGCCUUGAGACGAUGACAUGCAGAGAGAUAAGGAGUGCAGAAAUAAUAACAGAUGUGGUGUGUGUAUUUGUGUGUGUAUUUGCUUGUGUUUGAGUGUGUGUUUAUGUGCGUGCAUGUGCUCUACUUGAGUGUGUGUGUUUGUGUGCAGGAGAUACAGAGUGUUUAACAAUGACCUUUUCCAACAAGGAGAUUGAAUACUUUAACCCUGACGCAUCAGCUGAGAGUGUGUGUGUGUGUGUGUGUGUGUGUGUGUGUGUGUGUGUGUGUGUGUGUGUGUACAUGUGUGUGUGUGUCGCUGCAGGGUGACACAAAGAGUGCUGAUUGGUCCUCGGUCUGCUGAGCAACUCAAUUAUUCCUGUUAAUACCAGAAACACUAUGACACCUCAAAUAGAGAGGCUAUUAACACACACACACACACACACACACACACACACACACACACAGAUGCAUGUGCACAGGUAUAAAGAGACGAGGAUGCAAACGCUCUUAAAUGUUGAUUUUUACUUUUGUGCAGAAAUUUAUUCAUCAAAAAUCAACAAAAACAAACAGAAAAUCUAGAUUUUUUUUAAUCUAGACUCUUAAUUUUGAUCCUUUUGAGAAUAAAAUCCUGAUCCUGAACCUUCCAUGAUUUAAAUAAUGUCUCAGUGUUUGUCCUUCGCUCGGUAGUCUGUCUUCAUAAGUGGUUUUACACUGACAAAUAUGACCAAACGUAGUCAAACAUACUGCAGUUGUUUGUUUAAAAUUGUGAUUUUUUGUCAUUUUAGCCCGUAGAUUAGAUGAUUUUUCACCUUUUCAUUAAACUGUGUCAUAUUUCACUCGUCUGUCAGCUGAGUAACGAGAGUCAUCGUUGUUUUUAGCGUGUCAGCACUUAAACCCUCACUCCUGAUUGGCUCCUGAAGUCGUAUCCUCGUCUAAUUAUCAGGAAUGACUGAAUUAGUCUUUUUGAAGUGGUUCCUAACAUAACCGAACACCUCCUCGGGCUUUUAGCUCUUACCUAAACACACCUAAACCUCCUCCUUCCUCCUCCUUCUGCAGACCGGGACAGACUGACCAGCUGUGGUCGAGGGUGGAGAAUUAAAACCUUAAAAAGGUUUCAUGACUCAAAGCGAACGUUUCUGCGGCUCAGUCACAUGGAUGUUACUUUUGCUGCGUGAAUGUUUGUGUGUUUGGUCGGGGUCGGGGGGUCAGACGGGAGGAAGAGGAGGGGGGGAGGAAGAGGGAGGGGGGGAUCCCUGCGGAGGAGGACAGGAUGGAUGGAUGGCCGGAUCGCACGCCACAGAGAGAGGAGGGAGGGAGGCGAAGGAACGCGAGACAGAGACGAAGUCAGGAAUGAAUGGGAGGCUGUGUGUGUCUGAGCGAGGGGGACAUCCUCGACCCGGUUUACGGCCUGAGAACUGGACCGCACCCCCUACCACACCCAGUAACACACUAACACACACACACACAGGUGAUGGUCAAAAAUAGGUUAAAACAGUUUUGAUAGAACAGGGAUUUCAGAUCAGACACCUGUGCACACCUGUCGCCCGAGUUUCUUAAUCUUAAUGUUCAUGUUGUGAGAGCAGAAAAUGACUCACCUCUGCAGAGAGACACGCUGUCCUAAAACGAGUCGUCUCACUGCAGAGCGUGGAGACCUCAGACCUGGUCAAAGAUGUAGAUUGUAGCGGCUCCAAGUCUCCAAAGAAAACCACCGCCGAGAGGGUCGAGUACACACGGUCCAAACAAAAAGCAGCCGCAGAUCCAGCGUCACUUCCAGCGUUUAUUUCCAAGAAAAAUAAAGAAUUUACACGAGUCACUCAACGGGUUAAAGUAAAUAAAAGGUAACUUUAUAUCGGUGUAUCUGCUCUUUGCAGUCAACAAACUUUUCCAAACUUAAAUCACCUGCAGCGACUCGGUACAUCAGGAUGGGCAGCAGGUGAAGAUGACGGUUAAUUUAGUCCUUUUACCUUUUACUAAUUACUUUAAAUUAAAUGCAGACUAAAAUUAUUAACAAUUAGAUAGGCAAGAAAAUUGACACCAGCUUUUAGUUAGUAUUAUCUCCUUAAGCUAGUUUACCAUAAAUUAAAUCCAUUAUUUAAAUCAGAUUUACUGUUUAGCCCCGACACAGGUGUUGAAGAGUGUUUCGAUGCGUCACAGCAAACAGAAAAGAAUAUUUAACACUAACACACUGUGUGUGAAUUAAAAAACUUUUCUGUUUGGAAUUAAAACUGUUGAAAAAGUGCAGUAAUCUCUUUUUUUUUGCUUGACUCUAAAUCAUCUGCAAUUUUUUAACCUUUUAGGCCAUUUAUUGAUUUUAUUGUGUUAUUUUUCCUGCUCAUUUUUGUUUUUCCAUUUUAUCAUCAUUAUUUUUUUAUAAUGAUUUUAUUAUCAUUAUUAAUAUCCUCUUUUAUAUUUACUAUCCUGUUUCCUGCUUUCUACCCCUGUUUUUAUUACAUUUCUUCUUCUUACCUAUUUUAUGUUUUUAUUUUGGUCUCAUGGUCUCAGUUUAUGUUGUAGGUUCUUGUAUCGUCUGAGUUUCUUAUGACAAAUGAAAUUGUCCUUCAAUUUGGCGGCUUUGUUUUUAAUUGAGCUUUAGUUUUUUAUUUGUUUUUAUUUUCAUGUGCUUUACAAAUGUUUGUCAAAGCACUUUGUAAACUUAAAAAUAAAGUUAUUAUUAUUAGUAUAUAAUUAUGAUGGACAUUUAAGGUCAUAUUUUUUGUUCACACAUGAACACAGGUCUGUGGUGGAGAUGCUGCAACAAAAAUAAUCCUAAUCUGUGUGUGAGAGUACCUCAAAAUCCCUGUGUGUAUUCAGAGUGUGUAAACAUAGAGGCCUGUGCUUUGGAGGGUUUUAAUUCCUUUUAAUUUAGAUUAGAUUAGAUUAGAUUAAACUUUAUUAUCAUUGAACACAGAACAAGUACAGGAACAACGAAAUGCAGUUUAGCAUCUAACAAAAAGUGCAAGGUAUGUACAUGUGGACAGUGCAGGUAUGAACUAAAUAUACUAUAAAUAUAUGUGCAAUGAAUAUGCUAAAGAUAUAAACACAUUGUUGGUAACUGCAGGUAUGAAUAGGCUAUACAACAACAACAACAACAAAAUAAAUAUCUAAUUAUGUGUGUUAUCUUUGUAUACAGUAUACUGAUUAGUGCAGGUGUGAAAAAGAGAAAAUGCUAUUUAACAGUGAGUGCAAUUUAGUUCACAAUCCUGCAGGAUCUCUUCCCUUGCAUGUUGCACUUUGAUCAGUUUUGCAUGAUCUCAAACAUGAGUAGAUGUUGUUUCUCGCUCCUCCUCCUCACUCCUCUCGUUCUUGAAAAGGUCUGUUUUUUAAAUUUCUGCUGUUUCCAGUCUCCAGCUCGCAGACCUUCUUCUCUCUCUCCGUAUAUAAAGUCGUUGACAAACCCGGCAUGUGCUGUUUAAAUGCUAAUAUUAGAAAGAAGGCGAUAGACAAGAGCUUAGUGCUGAAAAAUCCUAUAGAGUCUGCAGCUGUUUACAGAGACGUUAACUUCCAACAUGGCCGCCUGAGGAGACAUUUAGUCAGGCGGAGACGGUCUUCAGUCUUCCUCCUGACGAUGUGAUGCUCGUUCUCACACUGCAUGUUGGACAGAAAGCGCUCCAGCAUCACUUUGACUGAUGUCAGAAUGAUAAUGUGAUCCUUUAAUGACACCCACAGGGGGAGCCGUCUUUCCUCCUGGAUGAGAGACAGACAGGAGGACAGGUCAGAGAGAGAGAGAGCGGCAAAGACAGAUAGAUGUGUGUGCUCGCUCGCCCCCGUGCUGCGCCGAGUCACCGGUGUGUGUUUGUACGAUUCUCGCAGUGUGAGAAAUGUCCUCGGUGUCUGAGUCGGAGGAGAAUUAUUGUCACGGAAACAACCUUCCUGACACCUCAACUCUGACCUCUGACCCCUGGGAAGGGGCGAGGAGUGGGGUGGGGGGGUCUGAGGAUAUGCCUGUUUCCCAGAGAGACAGUUACAGCACAGCAGGAGCUAAGAAUACUCUCUGACACACACACACACACACACAGGGAAAAUACUGCAGAAUACACACAUAAUGCACACAGAGCAUACAUGUACACAAUAUAAACAACACACACACACUCACACACACACACACACACACUCACACACACACACACACACUCUGGGAACUGCUGCUGAGACAGAACAGGAAUGUUUGACUGGUUUCCGUUUGCUGGUUUUUAGACUCUGUGUGUGUGUGUGUGUGUGUGUGUGUGUGUGUGUGUGUGUGUGUAACAUGUGUUGUGUUUAUUCAAACAUCAUGAGGAUGAUGAAUGUUGAAUUGUCUUUAAAACAAAUAAAGCUCCUGAAUCAUCUCCCGUUGGUUCGUUGGCUUUGAGUCGGCGUUUUUCCCACUGCUGUGUAAUUUUUCUCCAAACCCAGAAAUGACCAUAUAUGGGCAACAAGGUGAAAAACGCUAAGGGUUAAAGGGUUCAGAGGUUAAAAUAAGGAAAUUAAGUAACAGAAGUUGCAGUUCCUCAAGUGUCCACCAGGGGAUGUCUCCAGAAGUGAGUCAAUCCCCAUUCAGCCUCAUGUUAAAAUGAACAUGUUUACAGUCUAGUAAGGAAAAUAUAAAGUUAUGACUUAUUUUCACACUCAUGGGGGGGUAUUUUUAUUUAACAUAUUUGUUUACAUAUUACAAAAAGGGGCGUGGCCUCUUUAACAUUAGAAGGGAACUGCUGAUAAUGCAAGUCUGUGAUUGGCUGAUAAAGAAAUGUUCAUAAAUGUUCUUCCUUGAGCUGCUUCAUCCCGCUGUAGACCGUAAUGGACUGACCCUAAAUUAAUUUUACGCCGGAAUAUCCCUUUAAGAUGAACUGCAGUUCCCUGAGUGACCACAAGAGGCUGUAUCCAAAAGUGACUGUAUCCUCAUAGAGGCCAAUGUUAAAAUGUCCAAGUGGUGAAAAUAACAUGUUUACAGCCUAGUGAGGGAAAAAAAACGUGAUAUGUGAUUUUUCUUUUUAUAACAACAUCACAGGGCUGUAUUUUUGAACAACUUAUCUAUUAACGUUAUAUAAAGGCUAAUGGGAUGUAGCAUGAUAAGGGGGCGUGGCCUCUUUUAGCAGCAGGCUAGAGCGGCAGGCUUUACUAGGCUGUGAUUGGCUAUAUAACCCACUUGUAAAGUAUUAACUAAGAUAACCACAAGAACUUUAAUAAGGCUUUUUAAAACCUGCAGUUCCUUAGGUGUCCACUAGAGGCUGUAUCCAAAGGUGACUCGUCUCUGUAGAUUUCAAACAGGUGAUUUUUAUAAAAGUUCUGCAGUGAAACAAAAAAUGAGCUACAGAGACCAAAACUGUGUUUUUGUACCAGGCUGUAAAGAUGAUUAUUUCUGCUGUUUAUUUUAACAUUUUAACAUGGAGCUUAAUGGGAUUGACUCACUUGUGGAUACAGCCUGUAGUGGACGACAGAAGUACUGCAGUUGUUGCAUUAGCCUUGAUUGUUGUUGUUUAUUCCUAAAGAGAUGUUACAGUUGUUCAGCUACAAUCACAAAUCCAAUCUCAUUCAAACACGAGAGUUAAUGAUCUCAUUACCCAGUUAAUGAAACAGCGAUGGACUCAAACUAACUUAGCAUUCGCUGACCCCUUUCUCUUCUGUGGCUCCACCCCUUUGUCCUAAUAUGGUCGCUUCUGGCUCCAGAACACUAACACAAUUGCAGCCAAAAUGCCAACCUCGAUUUUCGAGAGGGUGAGACAACAAACCACUGAGUAACUUAGUGUGGCAAUAUCCAUUAUUUUAUACAACAACACAGACGCGCUGCACAAAAUCCCCACAGAGUAACAAACAGCGCAAUAACAAACAAAAGCUACUGGUCCUUUAGACAUGGAAAUGAAACGAGGGAGGAGUAAUUGAGGUGAAGAUGAAGUGGGUGAGGAGAGGAGGAGGAGGAGGAGGUGAAGUGAGGGAGGAGAGGAGAACAGACUGUUUGAAAGAAACAAUUUGAUUCAAUUUUCCACUCAAUAAAAUACAACCAUCAGCACACACACACACACACACACACACACACACACACACACACACACACACACAGUGUCUGUCUCCAGAGUGGUGUUUUAAUUGAAGCAGGUUACGGUCGUGUCUCGAUGAAAUUGGAAAAAUUAAUCAGCUGGAAAACGGUGUUUUCUUCCCUCCAACCAUCUCUCUCUCUCUCUCUCUCUCUCUCUCUCUCUCUCUCUCUCUCUCUCUCUCUCUCUCUGUCAAAUUAAACGGUGAGAGCCAUCUCUGUGUAAAAGGUGGUUUGUUUUUGGCGAUGUGUGUUGGUGGAAAUCUGUGUGUUUUAAUUUGCGUUAAUCAGCAUCUGUGUGCUUUUGGUCGCCCAUUAACGUUGGCUCAGUUUGUUAGCAUGUUAGCAUGUUAGCAUGUAUGCAUCUGUGUGUGUGUUAGUGUUGAGCAUAUUGGUACUUUUAGUGCAGACCCAAAUACGAAGAUUGUAAAAAAUGAUAGUGAAGGCGAACUGAAAACAACCAGAGCUCCCUCUACUGACUGGAUACAGUAGAAGCCAGAAGCCCCGCCUCCCCAUGUUAUCAGAUGGGACAUGGGUCAACUAAAAAAUAACAAAAACAUGUUGAAUAAAUUAAACUUUUUAGUAAUACAGUUUAGUCUGUAUUAGUUAUUUGGUUCUAUAAGAAUGGUGUUAAACCAUGAUUGACAGCUUUGUUGACCAAUGACGAUCCUGCAGCAGCACAUUAUCGGGAGGGAAACGGCAAGAAACCUUGAAUAGUUAUGGAACAUCAUGAUACAAUAUCAUAAAAUACAACACGAUACAAUAGGAAUUGAUUCACCUUUACAGUGAUAGUGAUGUGGCACUAUAUCAAUAAAAUUUGAUUGAUUGAUUGAUUGAUCGAUAGUCCACUCAAAUACACAAAAUAAUAUUAAACACCAACAACAACCUGCAUGCAAACAGAGAACACACACUUAUAUGAUAAUGGAGUUAGAGACAGGCUAACAGAGUGAUUGACAUGCUAACAGGCAGGUGGAUAGAUGGACAGGAAGUGAUGUCAUCCUGUUUUGUUAGGGGUGAGGUUUGGGGGGGAGGCAACUGUCGCCCUCAGGCUGGAAGAGGAUGACUGAUCGUCCAAUCGCGGGAAGGGUUGCUGUCUAUGCAACAUUACUUCAGCCAAUUGAGCGUCACCUUGUAUUAAUAUGGCCAUCAGUCUGCCUGCUUACAAAUAACACAGACGCACAACAACAACAACAUGAGGAGGAGAACAGUUGGACUCCAGCGAGGAGGAGUUGAGAUCAGAACCACGACGAGUCCAGACAGAGUUCAAAACAAACCCUCAGGAGUCACGAUAUUACUGUGGUACAACUUUACGAUGUUAGUUUGUACAUCUACGCUGUAGAGAAGAUUUAUGUCGAUCUCAUUUGUCAUAUUUAGUGAUCAGUUAUCUAAAAAACACCUCAGCUCCUACUUCAUGUCUGAUGUUAGAAGUAUUUUCUAGAGGUCUUUGCUGCUGCUCUCCCUGCCUUGGCCUUUCAUAAAUGCACAUAUAGUCGAGGUGUGUCCUCCGUGCCUCAGGUUUCUGAACUCCUCAUACACCUGUGGAGGGAAAGAAGCUCUCAGAACAGAGUCAGACCACAAGAUACAACAUCUAUUACACCUUUUCUAUACCAACAUCUAUAACACUUUUCUCUUCCACAGAGAGGACAAGAGUAAUUUCAGACUGCAGCUAUAAAUAAUGUUUUACCAACAAUGAAAUGAACUCAAACUACACUGUGUGUGUGUGUGUGUGUGUGUGUGUGUGUGUGUGUGUGUGUGUGUGUGUGUGUGUGUGUGUGUGUGUGUGUGUGUGCGUGUGUGCGUGUGUAUCAGCCCUGGGUUAGCCAUUAGUGGUGCACUGCUGAAGGGAAGGAGGAAGCUGGUAGAUCGUGAAGCACAUUAGCUCAAGAGCCGCUGGAGCAAAGGGGCAAACACACACACACACACACACACACACACACACACACACACACACACACACACACACACACACACACACACACACACACACACACACACACACACACACACACACACACACAGACACAGACACACAUUCCUUUGCUUAGAUUAUAUCUAAGCGUUGAAGGUGUUCCUCAGGGCAGCCGCACUUGCUGCAGCGUUUUUAAUGCUCUGUUAAACAUGCACACUCACACACACACACUCACACACACACACAUUCUCAGGAGUGUGUGUGCACAUGCAUAUUUAUCACAUUCUUUCACAAACAUUUUUAUUCAUGGUUUUUCUCAUGCACAACAUUGCAAAUUCAUGAUGGUGCAAACACACACACACACACACACACACACACACACACACACACACACACACACACAUGCGUGCACACAAACAGCACACCAAGUCUCAGUGAGUCCAAGCUGGAGUCAGUGAUGAGAAUCUGAGUUUAAAGCUCAUUAACUAACAGAAACCCGAGAGAGAGAGAGAGAGAGAGAGAGAGAGAGAGAGAGAGAGAGAGAGAGAGAGAGAGAGAGAGAGAGAGAGAGAGAGAGAGAGAGAGAGGAAUAAGAGAAGAAGAGAAAGAGAGAAAAAGAGACCUUUGGGGGAAACAGGAUUUAAUUGGAAAAAACGUUGAAACGUUUCAGACCUCCUCCUCCUCCUCCUCCUCCUCCUCCUCCUCCUCCUCCUCCUCCUCACUUCUUUAGUUUCUCCUGCAGAAAAAAAAAACAGAUUAAUGAGGAGUGAGCGCUCGGCUGCUCUCUCUCAGCAUGAUGAAUAAAUACACUUUAGUAAAAGGAUUUCAUGUAAGUAAGAGGAGGAGGAGGAGGAGGAGGAGGUCUGCAGCAGGCCUGAAAAACUCCUAAUGGAGGAAAUAAACGACAAACCAGCAGAAGAAGAAGAAGACGAGUCCGGUCUGACUCAAUCUGUGAUUUUUUUGUCUUACAGUUUUAAUUUCUUUGGAGGAAAAAUCUGAAACAGAAGAGAUGCAGCAGAGAGAUUAUCUUCACCUAAUCUGGACUAAAGAGUCCAGGAUUUAGUCUCAAGUCUGUCCUGAUUUUUCAGGAGUUGUUGUGACUCCAGUAACGAUGACCCAGACCUGGACCUUUGGUGUGUUUGUUCAUUUAGGCUGUUUUACUGUUUCUGUUCGAUGUUUUGUCUGACUCAGACACGUCCAAGAAAAGAAAUGCACGUGAGCGCCCUCUCAGGUUAAAACAGGGACAUGGAAACUCGUACAAGAAUUCAGAGACUAACUCACAGACUUGGCGUCAGAUUCAUCAUCAACAUGGCGGGAAAGUUUUUAAUGCACGUGAACUUUGGCUCAAAUAUGCAGCAGUUUGGAGCUCCAGGUUAACAUUAGCUGUCGUCUACAGAGAGUGUUGUGUGUUGUUGUUGUUGUAAUAUUCUGACUUCCUGUUUAAAAGCAGACGAGCACAGCGAAGUCUAGAGAAAGACUCACCACCUUGCAAACAUCAGAGAAGCACCGCUCACCUGUGUGCAGACUGUUUUUACAACAGUACCUACAAGGCUGCCCAAAGAGACGCCAGGAUUCAUGAGAUCCUCAGGCUUCAGUAAAUAAAACAGUAGAAACUCAGGAUGAAAAUAAAAAUAAAAAACAACUUAGGCAGUGUUGGAAAACUGGCGUCAGAGGAGAACUUAAGGUUGAAGACACUUGAACUGAGAACUUUCUCAUCGGCCAAACGGGCGCACGGCUGACAUGUCGGGAAAAAUAUUGGACAACAAGAAAAGGAGAGAAAUGAGGAGGUGACAAGGAGAGGAGAAAGGUGAGACAGAGAAGGAGACAAGGAGAGGAGAAAGGUGAGACAGAGAGGGAGUAAAGGUGAGACAGAGAGGGAGUAAAGGUGAGGAACAAGGAGGCAGACGAGGGAAAAAGGAGAGAAGGAAAAAGACAAAUCUGAUAUCUGUUUUUCUGUCCUGUGUCGGCUGUAUUUCCCUCAUCACUGAGUGUGUGUGUGUGUGUGUGUGAGUGUGAGGUCAGCACCUGUUUAGUUGAGUGACCAUAAAAAGACGUGUGUGUGUGUGUGUGUGUGUGUGUGUGUGUUAACAGAGGGAUGGUCUCUAUUGUGCGCAGACAGAGUGAGGACAGAGCAGCGACGGCGAACGCCUGAAUGAUGUGUGUGCGGACAGGAAAUGGACGCGGCGCUUUAAGAUACCUCAGUGUUUUUUAUCGACCGAGAAUUCUUCUUCUUCUUCUCUCUCUUUUAUUGCUGCGCUCUUUUCUUCUUCUACUGACAGACUGAUACCGCCUGGAAAGAUGCGAGGGGGGGCAGAGGGAUGGAGGGAAGUACGCUAAAGAGGAAAAGACAGAAACAGAGAAACUCAAUCAGCUCUUCUUCACAUGUUGAUGGCUGUAUUAUGGUCAUGUAAGUUUGUCUGUGUACUUCCCUUUUACAGUGAAACUAGGACUCAGAGGAACAAGUUAAGGACCAAUUAUCACAAGAAAAACACAGGAGACAAAAUUAUUUUAGGUAUAAACAACCAAAGCUAAAGAAAAGAGUCUGUGUAACUUAUUAUUUACAGUGAAGCCGAGACCUACCACUAACAGACAAACAGGAACAACUGAAAACCUGGACCUUCUAAAGUCCAGCCUCUUUGUACCUUCUACUUACAGAGAAACUGAGACCUUCCAGAGAAAGAUAGAAGGACAGUGUUUGGGACCCAAAUCACAUACAGAUCAGUUUGUUUUUCACUAAAGUACGUCAGAGUUCGGGUUUUUGUGUAACUGAGUAUUUACAGUGAAGCUGAGACUCAUCAGAUACAGACUAACGGGUGCAGACGAAGGCCGAUUAUUAGAAGACAAUCACAAGAAAAAACGUUUUUUAGGGUUCAAACAGCUGAAGUAACGGAAAACAAAGAGUCUGUGUAACUGAGUGUUUACAGUGAAGCUGAGACCUAAAAUUAACAGAUGAAUAAUGCUGCGUUUCAGUCGGAUGUUGGAGCCGACUGACGCCGACUGAGCAGAAUGCAACCGAGUUGAUGGCAUUUCAGUUAACAAGUCGGAAAACCAAGAUGGAUGCCUACAGUAAGCCGUUGUCAGUUGUUGUUAGCAGUACUGUUGAUGCACUACCAUUUUAUAAUAUAACGUUGUCGUCAAGUCGGGGUUGGUGAGAAUCGUCCGACUUUUCGAGUCGGAAAUCUGAUCUAAGGGGGCGUUCCAGACUCGGAGCUCUGAAACUACGACCUCCGAGUACAACUGGAACGUAGCAUAAGCCGAAGUAAAGAUCUAUGAAGUGCAACAGAAGAACAGGAAAAUCUAUUUCUCUGCAGAUAUUUUACCACGUAAAUCAGUUAUAGAGAAACCUUUAUUUUUGACAGAGAAACUGAGACCUACCAGGAACAGAAGUUUGAGUACAGUUAAAGAAAAUCAUCUUCGUUUUCAGGCUUGUUUACUGCAGAAGUUAGCCAGAAUGAAGCAUCUUUGUAACUAGUAUUUACAGUGAAACUGAGACCCACAAUAAACAGAUGAAUAAGUCCAGGUCAAGAUCUAAGAAGUGCAACACAUUUACAGGAAAAUCAAGUUCAUUGCAGUUUCUUUACCACUUAAAUCAGUUAAAGGGAAAAACUUUGUGGAGCUUUGUUUUUACAGAGAAACUGAGACCUUCCAGAAAACGAUGUUUGGGUUCAAUUAAAGACCUGUUAAAGAAAAACAGCUUCGUUUUCAGGCUUGUUCUUCGGAAGUAAACUGGAAUAAAGCAUCUUUGUAACUGACAAAUAACAAUAAAACUGAGACCUAGCUGUAACAGAUAAACAGGAACAACUGAAAAACUUUCUAACUUCCUCAGGCCGCUACAGUCCAGCAUCUUUGUAUUUUCUACUUACAGAGAAACUGAGACCUUCCAGGAACAGAUGUUUUGUCACAGUUAAAAAAACUCAGCUUCGUUUUCAGGCUUGUUUACUGCAGAAGUAAGUCAGAAUAGAGUAUAUUUGUAAGUAUUUACAGUGAAACUGAGACCUCUCAGUUCAGAGUUAAUCUCUCCGUCUUUUAGCCCCGGAGGAUGAGUGCUGCUAACUCUUGACUGGAUGCUCGUACGGUACGUUGGCCUUUUCUUGGAGAUGUUUCACUGAUAGAUGAUCGUUGAUGGGUCUGAGGUUGAAGCAGCGUGAAGAUAGGGGGCGCUCUUUCACAGGUCUGCUGUUUUGAACCUGUUGCACUCGCUCACGUUCAAAAGAAGAAAUCAAGCCGAUCUUUUCUGGGUGGUCUGAUACGGGAUGAGACCUACCUGGUUGAAUAUUACCUCUGCAUGUUUUUGAGUGGGGCCCGGCCCGCCCGCCGUCUUAUGAGCAUCGUGACAGUUUUAUAGAGUCAGGGUGUGGAAGUCAGACAGGAAGGAGGUACGAGAGACUGAACAUCAGCCAAAGAAAACACAACAGCGGCCAUUAGAGCGGAGAAUGAAAGAGAAAGGCUGACAGGGUCGGGGCCGGCUGCAGCUUUAAUAGAGAUGUUAUCUACUCCAGACCGAGACACCCAGCUGACAGUAAAAUGGACAGGAGAGGGAGAGAGAGGGGACAAACAAGGGGGGAGAGAGAGAGGAGAGUAAGAAGAAAGAAAAGGAGAGGAAACAAAAUCCAUAAGAGGACGGACGCUCUGAGUGAAGGAUGGAGGAUGAGAGAGAGAGAGAUGAAGACGAGGCAGAAAAACAAGAAAGAGGAGUGAGUGAUGGAGGCGUGGAGAGCGGAGGGAUGAAGAGGAGAGAUAACAGAGGUACCAGCAGAAAAACACUCACAUUUAUUAUCAGAGGAGAGGAGAAAACAACGAGGAGGAGGAGGAGGAGGAGGAGGAGGAGGAGGAGGAGGAGGAGGAGAGACAAACAGAAAAACAAGAUCCAGAUCAUCCAGAGAGAUCACAAAUCACCGACAGAGAAAGAGACGUGUUUUUAUGAUGAAUAUCUGAAAAUAAAUUCAGUUUGAAUCAGACAAAAGUCAACGAUGGUUUAAAAACUAAACCGAACUGAAGAGAGGGGCGACGUUUACAGAUUAAAGUCACAAGAAACACAAACUCAAACGUCUAAAUCAGACCGAGAGAUGAAAGAUCACAUGAUCAGACGAAUAUUGGAGAGCUGAACUCAGACCCUUAGACCCUCAGGUGGGAACAGAGCUCAGGUUAGUGAAUAAAUAUAAACACAGAAACAUCUGAAGAGCUGAGCUGCACUUCCAUCGUGUACGAGGACAACAGGAUUCUCUGGAUCAAUACGACUGAUUGAUGCAGUUUGUUUAAUCGUCACUACGGGCAUUAAUCAAUAACAGAUUCAAAGAGGGGUCAGUGUAAAACACACACACACAGGUUUUAGAGUGUGUCAUCAGUGUGUGACGUCCCAACAGCAGGUUGUGUUUCGACUGUUUACCUGGAGUCUCAAACUGCCCACCGCUGUCCUCCUCAUUUAUAAAAAGGGUUUCAACCUGCUUCCCUUUUAUUUCUGUGAUUUUAUCUGUUUGAAGAAUGUUUAAAAUCUAAAAUCUUUACUGAGUGAAGACUUAGUUUGACUUUCUGUCCCCAGAGUGUGCGCAGAAAAGAAGGAAAGGGGUUUCAGGUUUGUGGUUUCUGCAGCUUUGGAUCCCCUGAAAGAGGAUUUAGGAGCUGAGGGAGCUUCAGAAGAGAAAUUCUGCUGCAGAUCUUCUUCAGGACUCUCCUGUGAAGAGUUAAUCUUUCCUGUUGGAUCAGUCUGGAUCCAAAGAUCUAAAAAUAAACUCACCGGAGGGAGAGACCGCAGAGAUCAGAGAGCAUCAGGAAACAAACACCAGCGUCUUUGUAAACCUGAAACACCUGGAUGACCUGUAGAUGACCUUUGUAUGACCCUGCGGGGCUUACAUUGACCCCUACAGUUCAUGUAAUGGGGCUGACGUGGCGUGUUUCACUCGAUCUCUAACGGUGGAAAUUCCAGGAUGUCGCUCCGAUGCGUCACCCAGAUCGCCGACUCGAACUUCAGUAACCACGAAUAAUAAAAUCCAAGAUGGCUGCAGUGAAAAAGGUUUGUUUGUUUGAAACUUUGGCCGUAGAAAAACUUAAACUAUACUCCCAAAUUUCCCACAAUGCACAGCGUCUUCUUCUUCCCUUAAAGGCAGGUAGCACUCAUGAAUCAGAACCAAGUUUGGGUUUUCAUCUUCCUCCUGAUGAAGAUGAGGAGGUAGAGUUUGUAACAGAGAGUGUCGUGUUUCACUUAAACACCUGAACAGAACUGAUGAACACAUGACCUUCGACCUCAGCCAGCUGACCUUUGGUGACCUGAGACGAGAUGAUCAGAGACACUCAGGUUACAAAGAAACAUGAAAGUGUGUCUCUUUCACUUUUCACCUUUCGUACAGAUGUUGAUUCGUUUGUUUCAGACACUUAAUAGUUUUAUUAAACAUCCAAAAUUUGAAAUUUGAGAUUUAAAGACACAGAAAGUUGAACUGAAGUAUAAAAACAGAAUUUGUCUGAGUGUAAAAUCAGCGUGUUGUGUGUCUUUGAGGCUCUGAAGGUCCAAUAAUCUGAACAUUAAGAGAUUAUUGUUUCAUAUUUACCUGCAAAAAUCUCCAAAAUGCACUGGCACCACAAACAGGACGCAGAGGUUAAAUUCAGCCUGUCACUCAAAGAGGCCACACCCCCUUGAAUUUAAUCCUAAUAUCAUGCAGACAUGUCAGUCAUGUUCAAACGUCCUGAAGAGAAAAUCGAGCACAGAGUCCAAAACUGUAAACAUGAUCAUUCCUGCUGUAAAGUUUAACACGGAGCCCUAUGGGGAUUGACUCACUUUUUGAGGCAGCCUCUAGUGGACACUUGAGGAACUGCAGUUUUUAGUUCCUCUGUUUUAUUUCAUAUUCCAGUCGAGGAAGUUGCUGCUCAGUUUCAGCUCAUAUUGACACUUCUGCCUCUGAAAAUCUGUUUGUUUUCAGAGAAAAACUUUCUUGUCUUCCAGCAGAAUCUCUUUUUCCUUUUUCUUCGACCAUCUCUGAACACGUGAAGUAACAAAGAGACAAACUUUGAGGACUCUAUUUUUAUCUCCCUCUCUAAUGUUUCUUCUCUGUCAUCCUCUCACCUCUCUCUCUCUCUCCCUUACGUCUCACCUAUAAAUCAGAGCGGAGAUGGACCGUCACUUAGCCAAUCGAGCCCAACCCUGAUUGAUGUCACCAUUAAUUAAGCAGGAUUUUCUUUUAUUUCCAAAAGGCCCAUCUCCCUGCACGGCCGGCCUAAUGACAAUCCCAAUUAGUCCGUUAAUAGAUGGCUCUCCUCCUCCUCUCUGAUGGGCUGGAUGUGGAGAAAAAGUACCUGGCUGCAGAGUGAAAGGUUGGAGGAAUGAGCCGAGGUGACUGCAGGAAAUGUUUGAGGACGGAGUUUAACCUUUAUUAUCUUAGAUGGACGUCCACUUAGAUGGAGCAGGUGGUUUGAUCCUGCAGCAAACUCUAACCUGCGUGUUUCCCCUCGAUAGCAUCAAAUCAUAAAACAUAAAGCUGUGUUCGCACAAACUCCUGGAAACAUUUCCUCCCAAACUUGUCCGAACUUUCUCCUGCGAGCUCCUGGUUAAGAUUCCUGCAAGAAGUUUGGAUGAGUGUGUGAAGAGGGAGCAGAGGACUGAAUAAAAACAAUCAUCUUUAACUUCAAAUCUGUCCAUUUGGAAAUGCAAAUAUGAUCAUUCUCCCAAAUCCUACCAGAAUUUCCCAGGUGGACUGCAGGUGUGAACGCAAACAUCUAAGAUUUCACCUCAAAGUUUUCCUGGUCGCCACAUGAGUGAGGGAAACUUUCUUAAACCUCCAACAGAACCAGACAAAACACAUCAUCUAAAAAACUAUCUUUGAAAACAAAUAGAAGCUAAAUAUUGAAAUAAAUAUAGAAAUAAUCUAAUAUAAUAAUAAUGCUUCUUUCACACAGCAGCAGAAAGUGAUCCAGAUCUGGUUUUGUUUAUCCGUAUGUGACCCAGUCUGAACAGCACAAACCAAACUGAAUCGGAUCUCUCUGGAUCAGAUUUUAGUAACGAUGCACCGAUCCGAUAUUCAGAUCGGAUAUCGGCUCCGAUAUUAACAAACUAACUGGAUCAGAUAUCGGAUGAAUGAUGCCGAUCCAGUCUUUUUUUCUCUUUUAAUACAUGGAAGUCUAACUUCUUUUUUCUGUGUGCUGAUGCGCAAUUUGUUAUUCGUUAAUAAAUGAUAUUAAGUCAAUUUAAAUCUGUGAUAAUUUGUGACCUUUUCUUUAACAAGGCUGAUGUCAACCCUGAUGUCUUCACUCACAGAGAAAGGUAAACAGUUCAUUCACUCAACAGUACGACUGGAUCAGAGUCGGAUAUCGGCCGAUACACUCAGCCCGGGUAUUGGUAUUGGAUUGGAAAAAAAUGUGUCUCUAGAUUUAAGGUGCCCUCACAUGUGGUCCUGAACCAGAUUAAGGUCCCGUCUUUUAGGAAGAGGCGAGGUCAGAGUGCAUGUGACUCAGAGCGAGGAGCAGAUUUACGUGCACAAAGUGAACUCGGCCAAAACAACGUUUAAAAACUGUGAGUGAGUCAGUGAAAGUAAAUAAAAACCCUCUUUAGCAUGUUGUGGUGUUUGUGCAGGAUAAAACAACUUUAAUAUUUAAGAGCGGCUGAUUUUGUUUUGUUUUCUGACUUUAUCAUGUUUAAAAUUCAAAACUGGCUCAAAGGUUUUAUUUGAACUAAACUACUCAUGAAUAAAAAAUCAUUAUCAACUUUCUUUGUGGUAAUAAAAGUCAAAGGACUUUUAAUUAUGGGAGAUAAUCAUUAGAGUCAUUUGAUUUAUCCUGUGAUCAGUCUAUCAGAUAUUCUUCAGUUUGUCACAUUUGUUUGUUUUUUUCUGUCUAUAAAAAAGUUAAAAUUAUUCUCACACAUGUUCACCUUUCAGCUUCGUUUAACUUCUAAAAAAACUGUGAAAAAUAAUUUUGAAUAGAAUAAAAUUAUUAGAAAUUACUAUAUUAAAUCCAGAAAGUCAGUUCAGGAUCACAAACAACUUUAGAUUUCAGGUUUUUAAAAAAUACAUAAAUAUAUGUACUGAUGAAUAAAACUACUAUGACUCUUAAAACGCAUGAAAGAUUUCUUUCCUAGUUUUGAUGAAUUUUACUCAUUUGUUUAAUUUUCAAACUGUGUGUUUUCACUAUGAUGCGUCAUUUUUAAAUACAUUUUUUUUUUACUAUUUGCUGCUGAUCAUGUAAAUUAUCCAUUAAUGUGAUCAAUUAAGGUUUAUAUAAUCUUAUUAAUGCAUAUUUGAUAUUUAUUUUUUGAAGAUGACUCUCCUUAAAAGGAUUUUUAUGAUGUUUUUGUAGAUCAGACUGCAGCUCACCUUAAAUAUUUACUUCUAAACUGUCGGGGACAAAAGUUUGAAUUUUAAUAUAAAAAUACUACUACUAGUAAUAAUACUAAUAAUACCUUAUAACUGCAGAAAAAAAAGAACUUUUUUGAUAAUUAAUACAUUUUUUAUGGACUCAAUCAUUUUAAACAAAAAUCCCAGAUUAUUAAGAGACGUUAAUAAUGAACACUAAAAGAAGUGUGCUGAAAAUGAAAAUAUGUGGUAGUUUUACAUUAAAUAAAAUAAAUAAGCAAAAUUAAACAGUUUUAAUGGAAACAUGUUUCAAUGAUUUUAUUAUUAAAAAACAACAUUUUAGGAAUUUUAAACAGAAGUCAAGAAAAAAGAAACUGAAACUAACUUUUAUUUAAAUAGAUUAUUAAAGAUGGCUUAUAUGAGGAUAAACUGCUGACCCCCUGAAACUGCUGUGAGCUUCUCUGACUGACCACAUGGAGGCGCUCUGACACCACACAUCACUCCUUAGCAACAUCUACUCCUUCAAUAUCUAUCUAUCUAUCUAUCUAUCUAUGGGUGUGUGUGUUUGUGUGUGUGUGUGUGUUUGUGUGUGUGUGUUGCAGUAAAUAAACACACACAUACAUAUAUUUACAUAUCUACAUAUUAAAUGUAAUAAAAAGCACACAGGUGAGGUUGUAAAUUUUUAUGUAAUACUUACAGCUGCUGAAUAUAAAACUAACAUAAAGUAACCCUGGUGCUUUACUCUUAUCUUGACCUUUGACCUUUCAGAUCUGCUGAUUCAGAGCUUUUUUUUUUCAGAGUUUGCAGAAUUAACCUGAAACUGUUUCCACAUGUGCAUUAAACUCCUGAAACCUCAUGUUUAUUUAAGGAUGCAGCAGGUAAUAAUCAGGAAAAUUCAUGUAGAUGAAAGUAAAAACAGUAAAAACACCGAGGGUAAAAUAAGACCUUUAUCAAUAUGUCUUUAAAAAUAAAAGGACAACUAUACAGUAAAGUGAAUUAAAAGCACCUGAGUCAUUUGUACGUGGAAACUCCUCACAGUGAGUUAAAUUAAAGCUCCUGUAAGGAGUUUUCAGCUGCUCCUGAAGCAGGUUAAAGUUCGCGCCGAUGUUUCUUUAUGACUGAACUCGUGGUGUGGUCGAGUUUUGAUAUCAGAGCAAUGACUCUGCAGGUCCUGUCAGUUUGAUCAGCUGCACAGAUUGAUGCUUUUCUAUUGGUUUAAACAGCAACCGCCUCUGCAGAGACGUGGACUGACAUGUUUGCAGAAUUUGCAGGCAUGAUGCAUCAUACUGGUGGGACUGGGAUCGAGACACUAAAAGAACACAGUAACCAGCCGGAGCGUGCAAACAAGCUGUCUAUUUCUGGUCUAUUUCCAUGUGAAUAUGAGGGAGCGCAGCACAGAACUUGUCCAGUAGGUGUCAGUAAUUAACAUAAAACUCCUCCAUGUUAUACAAUGAGACGUUUUUGGUUAAAUCUGAAUAAAGUGACACAGUUCAGGACAUGUCGGUGUUGUGUAUUUGUUGGGAUCUGGGACGACAGAGCUUGAAAACAGGUUGUUUGUCUGUCCGGUCUCAGAGAGAGGAGAGGUCAUCGAGUUUGGUGAAUUUAGAAAUUUUUUUAUUGGCAUUUGCUUGAGCUGUUGGUCGUCUCUGCUAACUAAACUAACCCAGUGUAAACUUAGACUUUUCUUAACACCUGUGGCUCGUAUUCUGCAGAUUGUACUCAUGUCAUCCCUUCACUUACUUGUAAAUAAGCGACUUUAAUUGUUUGUUUUUGUUGGUUUAAACUAUUUAACCUGAGCGAUAAGUUAUGAAAUAUUCCCAUUGUUGGGCUAAUAUCCGAUUGCCGGAUAUAUAUCGUGCAUCACUCUUUAGAAGAUGUUUUGCAGGGAUGUUAAAAAGAUGAAGCAGCAAAAAUGCAACACUUGGUUCAAAAAUAUUACUGUAAUAUUUGCAGGAUAAAUGCAGAAGCUAAUGCGUGCAGAAACUAAAAACAGGCGGUAAACGGCGCGUCGGUGUGAACUCCGUUACAUCGCCUGCAAAAUUCUGCAGACACAGAAAGCAGCCUGAGAAAUGUCAUCGUUUUAAAGCAAUCUUAAGAGGAGGGUAAGAGGUGAUAAUAGGUUUGGCUCAGCUUUAAUACUGUUUGCAUAGGUGUGUGUACGCCUGUGUGUGUGUGUGAGAGAGUGUGUGUGUACAUUUAUCUCUCUUGUAGCAGCCUCUGAGAGCGGCAGCAUCUCCAAAACAAUUUACAGCCGACAUGUUUAUAGUCCUCCGUCGUAAAAACAGCAGAUUGAUCCUCUCGCUCUCUCUCUAUCAUAUUCAGCGCCGUACGCUCCAUUAAAAACUCGCCUUCAAUAUUUUAGUGUGUUUUAAGCGGGGAGAUAUUUCUGCACGGCUCCAGCAGCCGGGACCCCGGGGGCGUUUUGGGGCUCCCAAAAUAUUUGAAGAGGCAUAAAAAUCACGCCGUCCAUAAUGUAAACGAAUACAUAAUAUGGUUUUUACCAUUAGGGGGAAUCAGACAGCCGUCUAUAACAGCAGCAUUAGAGAGCAGGGUCAUAUAAAUAACAACAAGAGGGCGCUGAAGGAUCCGGGCUUUAGAGGCGAGUCAGAGUCCUCUUAUUUAUACCAGACUGAAAACCAAAACCUGAACCUUUCAUAAAUUAUUAAAUCUAAGAGUGAAUUUAUUUCUAAUGUUUGUUUUUAUUUCAAAAUAGUAAAAAAAUGAUCUCAAUAACUUUGUUUUUGUUUUUUAAAAUAUCUCAUUUCAGUGGGGGAGUGAUGUUUCUGUCUGUUAUAGUAGAGACCAUGAAUCAGUGUGUUAAAAAGAGACAUUAUUUUCAGAGUGAAUGGAACAAAAACACACAGGAAGAGUGAAGAACAACAAACAUGGAGGAAAUUCUGUGUCUGUAAACUGAGUAUUUUCAUAUCGAACUGAUAUGGAGACAAAAACACACAACUCUCCUGCUAAAAAUCCACAUUCAUUCACAUUCAUUCAUUCAUGUCCUCAAAUAGGUCCACGCCUGACAAGUGGUCGAGGAUUUAACCCUUUGUGGUUGAGAAAAUCCACUGAAUGUGAAGAUUGGAGUCCUUAAAGCAUCAUUAACAGAGUCGAAUAUUUUUUAACAGUGUGCAAUGAAAGCGAAUAGGAAUACUUAACACUGAAUCUUAAAGUUACAGCUCCAUUAGACGAUGUAACUCCUCUGCUAACCACACAAGAACCGGAUUACUGACAGGAGCACGUCCACCUCCGCUACAGUAGGGGGCGACAUGCAAAGGCAGUCACCUAUCAUAUGUCAAAACAAUCGACAAAACAUGUCUGAAUGAUGAGAACACCGUCGCUUUUACAGCUCUGUACCGUUUCUCUGAAUGAUCGGAGAGUUUCGUCUUUUCUUCAUCUGUCGAGUUUUUACUUUCACUUUCCUGUUUCAUAACAAAACAUCUGUGCUGCUCAGUUGGACUGAGCAUAUACUGAAGAUAAAACUGAUCCUUAAACCACAUUAUUGAGAUUUGUUUGUCCAGCUUUGGGACGCGCAUUCUAGAGCUAUUUCAGUCAGACUUAUGUGUUCACAUGUUUUUAAAAGUCCGACUCAGUAAUUCAGAGUUUCUGAACCUGGACUGAUUGUGUUUAUCUUCAGACAGACUCGAUGGUAACCUCUCUGGUAUUUUCCAAAACAUCGCCCUACAGUGAAGUUCAGGUGUUUCUGUGAAGGUUAAUCAGCAGCUAAAAUGUGCAGAAACUCCAACAAAGAGAACAGAGAUCAUCUGUACCUGUGAGCAGGAAUAAUGUAGAGCAUGAGUGAGUGAAUGUGAUUAUUCUGCUUUAAUAAAUAUAUAAGAUCAGAUAUUUCUUCUUUUCUGGAAAUAUGGACCUGAAUUUACUCAGAGAUUGUUCAGAUUGGAUUGGAAACAGUGAGGGAGUAACACAGAGGAGAGAGGAGAUGAGAUAGGAGACAAAAUGAAGUGAAGGAUGAAGGAGACAAGGAGGAGGAGUAAAGUCAAGGAUUUAAAGUAGGAGUGUGUGUGAUAACUUCUGACCCUCUUUAUCCACUUAAACACACACAGACACACACACACACACACACACACACACACACGGACAGAAAGAGUGUGUGAGAAGGAUGGAGACAGCGGCGUCCUCCUGUCUCUCUCUCUCUCUUUCACUCCCUCUCUCCGUCACACACACUCAGUCAGCCUCGAUCGCCCCUCUCAUCGGUCCCUCCCUCUCUCUCUCUCUCUCUCUCUCUCUCUCUCUCUCUCUCUCUCAGGGUCGAGCAGCUAAAGUUCACACUGAGGUCACCGUUACUGUAUAAAUGUGUGUGUGAGAGUGUGUUUUAUAAAGUUCACAGGUAAAGUCAAACUCUGCAGAAAGUGACAUUAUUCUUCGAUAUAUUAAUGAAUCAGAACAAUUAUUGAACUUUUAUGACGUUAAAAUGAUAAUUAUUUAAAUUAUAUUAAACUAGAGGAAGAGACGGACAGAGGUGAGAUUAAUUAUUUUACCUUGACUGAUAAGAUGAUUCUGCAAAAAUCCUAGUGAGGCGUUAAAAUGAGCUCAAACCAUCGAGUUAGUUUUUUAAAUGUGCAAUAAAUAAUAAGGUUUAAUCUCCUUUAAUGUAAGUCUUUAAUCACUUCAUUUAAAAAGUUUCAUUAAAAGUAAAAUUAUAUGUCUUUAAAGCUCCUGUGAGAAACUUUCGCUUUUAGUAGAGUGUGGUGCCCCCUCUGUUCCCCUGCUGUCUGAAGCCAAAACACUUAGAGCUCCCCCUGCUGGCCGGCUGCAUCAUGACUCCACUUCCUGAAGAGUCCAGCGUACACCUGUCCUUGUAAACAUAAAUCAGCAUGAUAAGAACAAACUUCAUUUUAUUUAAUGUGUAUUUUGAUCUUAGAGUUUGCACCAUGUCGCAUUUGUUAACAUGGAGGAGGCGGAGCUUAUGACUUAUAUUGUGACAUCACCAGGGGGAGCUCUAGAUACUUUGGCUUCACUUUUAGGGAGCUAUGAGUUCACUUUUUAUCGGCCAACAACUCCAAAAAACUUCAGAAAAGUUUGUGCAUGAAGAGUUUUCUGCAGAAAAAGGAAAACAACACACACAAACACACACACACACACACACACACACACACACACACACACACACACACAAGGGAGAGACACACAAAGAGACACACUGACAGACAGACAUGAGGUUACUUAGUGUUUGAGUUCAAUACUGACCCAAUGUACUGAUACCAGCCUGGCGUCACCAGCACUCUAUGUGUGUGUGUGUGUGUGUGUGUGUGUGUGAUUGAUUUAGGUGGAGCCACGGAGGUACAGACGUGGAGUUGUUGCGUUUUCAGCCAAACUGCAAAAUCAAUGCAAAGUGGAUUUGAAUGAAAGAAGUACACACUGCUUUCAUCCAGUGUGUGUGUGUGUGUGUGAGUGUGUGUGAGUGUGUGUGUGUGUGUGUGUGUGUGUGUGUGUGUCUGUCUGUCUUUGAGACCCAGCUGGUAACCCACGGCGACAGGGCGCUGUCAGCCAUUACAGCUCCAGCGUCUCCGCAGCGACCAUUAACGAUAAUGUUGUUGUUGCCGUGGCUACAAAUACACUCGUUCCACUCCAUUUGCAUUUGGAGAGAGACGGAGAGAGACGGAGAGAGAGGGAAACAGAGGAUGGGGAAAAACAGGGCUGAAAGAUGAGAAAAGGAGGAUGAGGAAGAGACACAGAGAAAUAACGGUUGUGUUUCCUCUUGUCUGUGUUUUUGUCUCCGUCCCUCCGUCCGUCCGUCUGUCUCUGGUUCUGAGUCCGUCUGCAGAACCCUGGAGCCCUCCCAGUCUGUGAAGUCAGGUCAAGACUUCCAGUCCAGUCAUCUCCGUGUCAUUAAGAGUCAAUCUGACACUCUGUAAGUGGACUUGAUGCACUGAUGCACUUUGAUGCUUCCAUGAGUCAAACUUUUCUGACUGUUGGUCGGCAUGUUUAUGUUCAGGGUGAAGAUGGAAAGUCUUUAAGAGGUUAGGGUUAGGAAAGGACCUUCACUUUAUUUCUGUCUGAGGAGAACUCGGCAAAACAAAAUCUAAUGUCGAAUAAGAGAGACUAAUAAAGACGCAUCCUGAACUGAAGACACAGCAGGUUUGGAAACACCAAGUGUGGUGGUGCCAUCGUGGGUGUCCUGGCUCGAACCUUAACUCUGACAGCGGCCUUUCUGUGUGGAGCCACAUCUUCUCUCUGCGUGUCUCUGUGUACUUCAGCAUCCUCUUAUAGGCUGGAGUGUUAAAGGGAUAUUCCAGCACAAAAUUAAGUUAGGGUCAAUCACACCAUAACACCGAGUUAGACACCCCCUCAAGAGAUGAAUGUUGCCGACAGCUUGCUUCUCUAGUUAAACCAACUUUAGUAACGACCGCAGGAUAACUCGGGGUUACGGUGUGUUUGACCCUAACUUAAUUUUACGCCAGAAUAUCCCUUUAAUGCCAGUGAAGCUGAGUGAUGUGCAGCAACCUUCGUCUGGAUAAAUCUGCUGCAAAAGUCAGUGAGGUUUGGUCCUCUAACACACUGAACUUCUCAUCUUUCCUGUCAGUGAUGAGCGCCCCCUAUAGGCUCAAAGUACUUCAGCCGCCAUGUCUUGAUUUGUGUUUUUCUUUUGCUUGUCCAUGUUGUGUUUGUGUUUUUUUUUAAAGGUUUAUAUUUGACGUUGUUUCUUUUAGUGUCCCUUUCUUUUUCAUUAGUUGUGUGUUUCAGUUGUUGCAUUUGUUGAGGACUUCUGCUCUUGUUUUUGAAUGUGCGUCAUUGUUGGAUAAGCGACACACUUUUUGAGAUUUGUAAAGUAGAUCGAAAACGUUCCAUUUUCUUUUCUUUUGGGCUUUAUGUGUGACGAAUUAGGACAGAAGAAAAAGUGGUAAAUGGUGUAAGAAAGCGGGAGUUACAUGCAGGAAGGGCGCCACAUGUUGAGAUAGAACCUAGAUUGUCCAUUUGAAGCAUGACCUGUGUACAUGGGGUGCACCCGAACCGCUAACAGUUAAAUAGGAUAACAGGAAAUCUCUAAGUCAUGUUCAAAUUAAACAAAGUUAACGUUUAUCAUGACGUUAGCACCUGUUGAAAGUCUAAAACCCCAACUGCUGCGAUCACAGUUUAUGAUUUAAUCCAAACACAUUAUUUACAUUAUGAGCCAUGAGUCGUCUCUCCCUGUUCUCUUUGCUCAAGUUGUUUGUGAUCCGUUUUAUGUAGUAAGAGCAGGUUUGGACUCAGUGAACAAAAUAACUAUAAAUAAACCAAGUAUGCUUCCACUGCUGCACCGACCCCUGCAGUUUAAGUCAGUGACUCACUGCUGCCAGUUGGUGGUGAAAGUUUUCCCGCCUGUUCACAGCCAACAUAAUACAGAUGUGUCUGAUUUAGGAUUUAAGUUAUAUUUUUCUUACAUUAAUGUUCAUGUUUACAAUGACUCUUCAAAAAGUAACUGUAUGAGCCACUUUAUAUAUAUAUAAUGUUUUGGAUUUUGUUUUGUUAUUCGCACAAUCACCACAAGGGGGCGCUUCAGGUGAAUGGGCAGGUAAAUGCUACAAAAGGGACACAGGUGAAGCAGUGAUCUGGGGAAUGGGAAGAGCACACGGUUUUUACCGCUAAUGUCCGACACCACUCUCACCUUCAUCACCUACAUCACCAUCGUCGUAAUUUGGACGUAUCUGUCCUUUUUUGUUUGAUUUUAAUCUGACAUUGGAUUGUACCAGAAGCGCGUCAAAAACACCUCACUCCCUCACCCAGACAGUGACUAAAAUUCAGGUCAGCAUAGUCACUACAGUAACUCUGAUAAACAACAGCUGACAGAUUAGCAGACGUGUGUUUACAUCUGGGUUUUUGCAGAUUGGUCAGACCUGUUAGCCACCGUCCCAAAAACAUGCUUGUUGGGUUAAGACUCCUGGACGAGUGUGUGUGAGCGCGUUCUUAAACUGAGAAGGAAACCCUGAUUUUUAUUAAUAUUAUUAUUACUUUAACCAGAAAACACAACUCUCACCUGUACAGGUCAGAAGCAGCAAAGUUUUUUAGGUACCGCUCCAUCUUUGGGGCGACAAAGUUGUUUCCAACUCAAACUUCCUGACAGGAGCUUUAAGAUUUGAAGCUCGGAUACUAACUGAGGCCUCACAGAGCAGCAUGAAAGUGAUGAUGAUGCUCAUGAAGACAGGUGUUCAUCAGAAAGGUGACUGAAUAAUUAGAGCGGGCAAACACCACCUGAUCCUGCUUCAUAGUGUUUUUAUGUCACACACAACUUCUCUCCCAAAUUCAUACACACUCACACACACACACACACUCACACACACUCUCGGUGUUAAGCAGUGCAAUGGCUCCAAAGAGAGCGCACAGUGGGGCGAUAACACUUGGCGUAAUGCCCCUUUAAAAGGCAAUAACACCCACAAUAAUCACCUUCCUCCCUCUCGAUCCGUCUCCAUCUUGUUAAAAAGCUCCUCUCUCUGCUUGUUUCUGCACAUGAAGUUGUCGUUUUGAAUUUUUUCUGCAGCUGUAAAAGGUUAGUGAACGCUGGCAGCUUCUGUUUCGCUUAAAGAGCAGUAAUCUUUGUAAUAAUUACCUCUCUGCCUCGCUGUCUGGAUUCACACGAGCCUCUCUAAUCGCCUCCUUCACCUCCUCCUCUCCGCGAGUCGAACUGGAAGUUAUAAAAGUCAUGUCUGUAUGUGUUUACAGCUUUUUAAAAGCACUUAAAUUAAUGGUGAUUACUGAUCUGCAUCUGUCUCUAUAAAACUGCUCAGUUUGAGAAGCUGUCGGACGGAAUAACCUGAAAAACAAGAAACCAGACACUUCAGCAGUUUAUCCUUGUUUUUAUUCUUCAUAUGUAUCUGAUUCAAUGUUUUUAUCCUCAAUUUAGACAGAAGCAUCUCUGAAAAACUCUGUUUAACUUUGCUUUAAGUUGUGAAAUUCAGAGUUUAGGGAGUUGAGAGGACACAGAAUGAACUGAGUGUAAACAGGGAAGUGAUGGAGGUUGAUUUGGAGAUGUUCAUACACUAGAAAAUGACAUUAUUAGGGGGCUGUUUACAUUAAAUACUGUAUUAUAAGUCCAGUAUUCAUUCUCUUAUGAUGCAAGUUUGGUCACCAGAAGCUCCUGACCUGAUCAUGGUGCUGCUACCGUAAAACUUUAGUUAGUAGACUCGGCUUUCAGAGGUCGACAACCCAUUUUUCUAGCUUGGUGACACGUCUGUCUAGGGUAAUCAGUCUGAUAAUAUUACACACACACACACAGUAAAAUAAACCAAUUAUUCAACAAAUUCAAUCAGAAACAUCAGAACACCUGAUCCAAAAACCUGCAGCUGUACAAACUGAGCCUCUGCUGAGUCAUGCCAGAAGAGACGCCACCAGACUUUGAUUUUAAGUGCUUUCAGAAAAAUGACCGUCCAUCAGUCAUACCGGAGAAACUAUUUUUAUGAUGGACCUGAAAUGAGAAACAGAGAGGCAGACUCCACAGAACCCACAGAUGUGCUGACAAAGUCCAGGCAGAUGUAAACAAAGUGGGGACAUUUUUAUGUAAGCAUCAUAUUUAGUUUUAAUCUUGUAAGUAUUUUUAUGAAAAAUGUGAUGUAGAAAUAUGAUGACAAACCUGGAAACCUUAGAGAUAUCAGUCUAAAUCUUUGGAUUACAGCCGACUAAAUGAAACUAAAACUGCUCGACAGUGUAUGAUAAUGUAAUGAUGUAGUCCUACUUUUUAAAAAUCAAUUUAGAUUAAUGGCUGUUUUUGAUUAAUAUUAUCUUUAAAGGCUUUAAUAAAAGAGUUUGUCUACUGUUUAUGGCAGUACAUUUCUGCAAAUAAAAUUAAACAGACAGAAACUUGGCCUCAAUGAAUUAAAGUCCUGAAUAUUAAGUCAAAAUUUAGAGAUGAGGACUAAAAUUAUGGAAGAAGUUAAAACUAUAAGUUAAAGUUGCAAAAUUAUGUAAACAAAAGUCCUAACUAUAAAUUCAAAGUCAUAAAAUAAGAUUAAAAGUUAAAAAUAUGUCUUAAAAAUCUAAAUUCUUGGACAAAAAGUUAAAAUUAGGUCAUAGUCAUACUGUUUAAUACCAUAAAUAUUACUUAUGUUUAAAAAAAUCUCAUUGUUUUGAUUUUUUUUAUCAUACUUAUGACAUGCUAUCAUAAAUUUUGCUUUUUAUCCCUUUAUUAUGUCUUAUUAUGUUGUAAAUUUGACUAUCAUCAAGUUAUUUUAACUUCUUAUUAAAGAAUUAUAACUUGCUAUCUCAUAUUUAUGACUCACCAUAUAAUAAUUUUUAUUUCAUCUUAUAAUGGUGUCUCAUUAUUUCAUUACUUCUCAUCUAUUUGCAUAAAACUUUGACCUUUUAUCUCAUAAUCUUGACUUUAUUUUUAAGAUUAUUUUUCACUGAGGCAAAGCAAAGUCUCUCUCUCUCUUUAUUUAUUUUCUAAUUCUUUAGUUUAAGUAUUAAUCUGUUUUCAUCAGGCAGAAACAGCCUCUCAGACUUUUCCUCCUGUUUACUGACCGCAAGUUUCAGAUUUCUCCGGCUGUACCGGUAGAUGGCGGUAAUGCGCGUCAGUGCUAGUCUGUCAACCGCCAAUCAUAUUAAACGAAGAAGAAGCAGCGGCUCGCGGAUGCGCACCUUGUUUUGGACAUUUGAAUUUUGAGCGCGAAAAAAUGGAGGACGGUAAUAGGCUGCCGACAGUCAGUGAGCGAGUGAGGACAUUAACGGCUCAGGUGUUGAAGAAGGACUUUAACCUGCUUACCUGGAGGAAGAGGAGGAUGAAGGAGGCUGUUUUACAGAGCUACGUCGUUAAAAGUGAGUACGAACUGAAAAUAAAUCGCACCGCUGUGUGUUUGGGGCUAACGUUAGCUAACUAGCUAGCUUGCUGGUUAGCGUUCGCUGCCGUCAUUUCCAUGGCAACGGUCAAAGACGUUACUAGCUUCUUAUGCUAGCAGUCUCUGAGUUGUUGGUGUUGUUGAGCCACAGAGGCUUUAAUUUCUGAUACUUUGGUGUGUGGAGAAGCGAUAAUACUCAGGUUUCUGUUUUAUAUUUCGUGUUUUAAUGUGGUUGAAUUUUCGGAAUCAUUGAAUCUGUUGCUGGAGCGGAGUCGACUUUUGUUGCUGUUGGCUGUAUAAUGUGUUAAAACUGUCUGUAAUCCAGUUUACCCGGUCAACAGGAUAAAUUAUUCAUUUUAUAAUGUAAGUUAUAACAUAAAACAACAUGAAGGGUCAUGCCUAUUCAUUUUUUUUCCUUUGAGUGAUUUAUUUUUAAUAGUUGGCAUUUAAAUCUUGUCAUUGUAAAUCAUAUCUCUUCAAAGUUUAAUAUUUAAGUGGUCAAACUCUGGAAUAAGGUGGUGCAGUUUUAUUUUGAGUGUUGUAGGUGUGUACAUACUAAAACAGCGGUUCCCAACUGGUGGGUUGCGACCCAAAAGUGAGUUGUCCUUUCAAUGCGGUGAUUUCCACUCCAGAGUCCGGUCUGUUUUUAACGCUCUGACCAUCCAGUCCUGGUUUUGGUCCUUGUCCCUUUAGUACAGAGCUUUCUCCAGAUCCGCUGAAUCUUAAAAUGAUAUUAUGUACUGUGGAUCAGUGGUUCUCAACUGGUGGGUCCCGACCCAAAAGUGGGUCACGGAUACGUUCUGGAUGGGUCGGGAACAGCUGGUCAAAAACGUAAAUAUUUGAUGUGCAUCUAAUUUGUCUUUUAUCAUGGAAACUAGCUAAUUUUGAUAGUCACGCAUUAUGUCGUGGUCCUCCUCCGUUUCUUAAUUUGAUAUUUAUUCACUCUUGUCCUCCUCAGGUUCUUCUGAAUAUGCUCUGAAUGCAGAGAUGCAAAUAAGUCAGAUUUUGUGCAGUUUGAUGUUUUCUGUAUACGCAACUUUAGUAGUUGUCGUCCUCAGUUUAUGUGCUCUGAAAUGCACUUUACCCAACAUAUAAGGUGUAUUUAUGUCAAAGAUUUGAGUCUUCAAAGUUUUUUUCUUCUAUAAGAUAAAUUUGCUUGGUUUGAAUUUUAUAAAAGUGGAUCACAAAGUUUGUCCAUGGGAAAAUGUGGGUCCCAGAGUGAGACCAGUUGGGAACCACUGAGCUAAAAGGUCUGAAUGAUGAAUUGAAGUUUUGCUGUGAUUUUAACAUUAGUUUUUGAAAGAAACACAUUGGCAUGUCUGAAUUUACUACAGUUAAUCAUAAGUUUUUAAUUAUGGAGGCUUAAGUAUUUAAAGGCUGUGCUUUUACAUAAUUUUGGUACAGUAAGAUGAAGCUGAUGUUUGUGGUCAACGUGGUCGAGGCAUUUAUGGGUUUAUUUUGAAUUCAUGUGAGGGAUGCAAGAGUUGUUUUGGACCUAAGGAACAGAAGAUAGGUAAAGUUACAGCUCAUACGCACUGAAAGUCAAAGUGAGAGAUUAGAUUGAGCCUUAAUAAAUGUUGUUGGAUAUAAUAAAGUAGAUAUUUACUAGAUUCUGCUCAGAUUUAGGAAAGCAGGCAUUUCGGUUUGUGUGCACUGCUCCAGUCACAGUUUUUAAAAUGCAGAAAGCCCAUUAUGAAGUUCUUUUGUUUGACUUUUUUAUUUGACAAAGUACCCUUGACUUUUGCUUAGUUUGCAUCCAAACUUCAAUAAGUACGAGGGCGUGUGCUCCAGCUGUCCAGCAUGUGAAACAUGGGUUGAUGUUGCAUAGGAAAUGGUCAAUAUUUGGACUCUAAUGUUGUAUUUUGAAGGAACUAGUGUAAGAGGAAACAUUGCUGAGUAGGUAGUACUGUUACAUUAGUCCUACAGACUGACUACAAACAUCUGCAGUACUGAAAAUAACAGUAUGCAAUAACAGGUAGUAAAUGAAGUAUAAUUCUUAACCCUAAAAUAUAGGAUACAUGUGUUUUUAAAAUGUUGAACUGUUCCUUUAAAGCUUAUUUAAAAUUCCUGAGUGAGAGGAAGAGAAGAAAAUCUCCUAACACACUGCUCCUGUUUACUCCACCCGUUUAAUCCCCCCUCCUGUUCUCUGUUUGUGUGCGUGUGUGUGCAUGUGUGUGUGUGUGUGAGCUGUAAAUCUCUCUGUGGUGAAUUUACAGCUCUCCAUUCACACAUUUAACUCCACGUCUGUAGAGCGCACGGCCGCUUCACAGCUGUCUGAGUGUGUGUGUGUGUGUGUGUGUUUGCUCCGAAGGUGAAACGCUGUAUGAUGCUCUGUUUCCAUGGCAACAACUUGGGGGGGAGAGAGAGAGAGUGAGAGAGGGCGAUAGAGCAAGGGCGAGUUAGAAAUUCAGUUUCGCUCCGAGUCUCUAACAAAGGAAACAAAAGCCCGUAAAUAUCUCGGACUGCGUGUGUGUUUCUGCAGAGUGUGACUGGGUGUGUUGCAAGCGUGAAGAUGCAAGCUGCUGUUCCCGGUGUGUGUUUGUGUGUGUGUGAGGUAACAGCAGAUGUUGGACCUCUCAGAUUAUUCCACAGAGAGCGAGCGAACAAAGAGAGAGACGGAAAGUUCACGUCGGUUUAAUCUGGCUCUAUAAAUCAGAUUUGUUUUAUUUACCAUAAUUACGACAAUAAUGAAGUACACACUCGCCAAGCGGGACUCCCUAAAAGCACUUUAAUUUCUCUGGGGGAUGUGCUUUAACUUGUGCACGGUGUCAGGUUUCUCAUCCCAAACAGUAACCUACGAAUUAUUUUCUAAAGCUGAUGUUUGUGUUGGUCUGCGGGAGCCGAGUGCACCAUUGAGGAUUAAAACGAGUCACAUAUUUCUCUUGUGUUGCACUUUUCUUUGGCCACCUCUGCUGCUAAGCCAGGCGAGGACAGGUUGUAGCUGCACCCAGUCUUGCGUGGAAUCAUUUGUGAAGUGGUGGACUGAAUGAUUAUUGCAUUUGUGUUAUGAUGGAAUUAGAUUUUCUGAAUGCAAAGGCUGCAAUCUGGUCAAAGUAACAACUUGGCAUACUACACUUUUAGUUCAAUGGCCUCAGAACAGACAGAAACUGGAAACUUUGGCAUCUUAGAGAGGCAGAACAUUGAUUUUGUGGGGCUAAACUGGCUUUCCAAAAUCUCAAGUGAGUGUCUUGUCAGUGUGUGUUUGUGUGUGUACAAUCACACAUCACUGUCUUAUCUUAACACACUUUUAUCUGUGUGUAAAGUUUAAAGCUGAUUUCAUUGUUCACUCUGUAAUGACAACAAAGUCUUCCUCCUUAUUACAACCUGUCAGGUUACAUUUACUGUCGUCUGUGUUAUACAAGCCAAUAAACAUUCAUUUAAUGUCCCCUGCUGUCACUCACACACAGAGACAUGGACAGUAUUUCUUCCAGAGUGAUAUUACUGUUGUUAUUGUGCGGGGUCAGUUGGACCCAGGAGAGGUUAAACUGGUCAGAGUUCUUAUGAACAAACUGUAAAAACACUCCAAUCAAAUAAGAGGUGAUGCAGUAAUAUAAGAGCUGGGGUCUCCUGGACCCUGAACACAACAUCAGGGUUAACUGAGACUGUGAUCGAGGACAAAGGUACAUGUGAAAAUCUACGAGAAUGACAAAAAGUUUCUGAAUUACUCAUGAGGGUCUCUCCAGUUAGCACUGAAAUAGUUUGUUACGACUGCAAAGAAAUCUUUGUGGGCGACUCUUGAUGACCACCAAAGGUUCUUGUUGUCAGAUUGUGAUCCUGUUUUAACAAUGAAAGUCAUAUUUGUUAUUCUGAGUGUCUGAAUACAUUACAGAAAGGACUCCGACAGAGAAAUGGGCUUUUCUCUUAAGGUGGGAUAUUUUUUAGCCAGAUGCAGCUGUUAGAUUUCUCCCUGCAAAUGGAAUAGAUUCUGUCAGACACAUGUCAUCAUUUGAGGCGCUGGUCUACUGACUUUUUCCACCAAUCUGAUACUUUUUUGUGUGUUAGAGGGAAAGUGAUAUUCAUGUUUAAUUUGAUUAAGAUGCAAAAACUUAACCAGUCCAGACAGAAGUAGACGAGCAACUUCAGUGUUCUGCAGGGUGAACUGUCUUAUGGUGGUGGAAGAGCUGCUGUUUUUAGUCCAAUAUAAGGCUCUACCUCUCCCACAUUUAAGUCCAUCUCUGUAGGGAUCCUCUCUGUGAUGUUGUCAAACUCUUAGAAUAACAGUUUGAGACGAUCAGUGAGGAAAAAUAAGUAUAUUUAGUGGAUGAGCUUUGGUUGUGCACACUCUUCAUCAGGAAUACACUGCAGCCGUUAAAGCCUGUUUCUCUGCAGCAGUGACAAAAAGUCUCUUGCAGUAAUUUCAAUAUUUAUUGUGCCUUAAAAAUUGUAAGAAUAGAGAAAAGGCGUAAAAACACAAAAGUUUAUAUUUAAUAAUAUGAUCAGAGUCAUAAAAAUCUGGAGCUUUUAAAUUCAGAGGUACAAACAAGAAUUUAUUGAUAUGUUAUUUGUUUCAAACAGUGGUUUUAAAAUAAUUCGAGCUUUUACAAACAAAGAUUAAGAUCUCAUAAAUUUUAUAAAGUCGAUAAAAUUGUUCGAGUAGUUCCAGAAUCUCUGAAUUGUCCCUCGUUUGGUCCCAUCAUCCUCCGACCGCACGGUGACCUUUAAACGCAGCCCUGACCCCAGAUUCACUCCCACUCUGAGGGGAAGGGUGGGUGGGGGGGAGACUCAGACUUCUAUGUCUGUGAGGUUACACAGAGGUCAUACUCUACCUGUUGCUAUGGUGAUGGCUGCAGGAGGAGACAGGAAGUAAACAAAAGUCUGUGUGCAAACUGUGACCUGAUGUUAGACGGCAGGAGAGAAAGCAGAGAUAAAAACAAAAACAGAAACGGAUAAAGAGGCGACGAAGGUUUAAAUCAGGACGAUUCUCCGACUCUAUCAAACAAGUUUGCUGGUUUCUUUCACUCUCUAACCUUUGACCUCUCCAUCGUCUCACCCUCUUCUAGGGUCAUGCUGAGGUCAGCCUGAGGGAGACAUGUUUGAAUGUGUGUGUGUGUGUUUUAUUUUUGUGUUCAGUAACCCUCUGUUAGAGACAGUCCGUACAAACCCAACACUGACGCUCUUUGUUGGAGUUUCAUCACUUUUACCAGUGUUGGAGAGAAGUCACUGAAACUGUUAUCUUCCUGCCCAGUCCAUCCCUCUAUCCUACUCCUUUCUGACCUUUUUACCUCCUGACCUUUGACCUUAUGCCCUGGCUCUGCCCUGCAGCAGGUUAACCUUGGCUGUGCCGUCUCUCUCUCUGACUCUCUAAUGUCAAACCUUCACAGAAUCACUUCUCCUCUCAAAAUUAGAUCUGCUGCAGCGCCGCAGCACUCGACCGCCGCGCUCAUCGAUCUGAGUGAUGCGCCGAAAUGUUCCCGUUCCAUCCGUCAAACUUUUUUUCUGUCACGGUUCCUCGGUGAAGGACUGGACGAGGUCGCUCCUCUGCAUGUAAGGAUGAGAAACCGGUUUCCUUCAAGUGACGGCUGAGCAGCUGCUUCCUGAAAUCUGGACAGUAUUCUUACAGUUUUACAUCGCAGGAUAAUCAGGUGCAGUUAUGACAGAUCUCCUCUUGAUCUUAACAAAUCAAAACCUUAAAUAUGAGUCAAUUUAGUUCCCAAAAUUAAACAUGAACCUUUAGGACCUGUGUUUGUACAAAUAACGCAUCAGAGCGCUCUAACUUUAAAGCUUGAGGGUCACCAAAGAACGUGAACUUCAAAAUCAGAGGUCUAGGGGGGUAAAGAUCUUCAGAUUACAUUUAGUACUUUUUUUAAGACCUUCAGGCAGCUUAAAACUAUUUUCCCUAAUAUGAAAUACUCCAACUUUCUUAAGCCCCAGAAUAUAAACUAGACAGGUGAAUUUGUUUGACCACUUCCUGUCUUUAAAAGUUCCUAAAAUUACUCAAAUUAAAGAAAAAAUUUAUUGCAUCUUUUCAGAGACAGUCUGAAGAAACAAAAGUCAGUAAAGCAUCAUCACUGAAUAAAAACCAGCAGAACUAAUGUUCAUUAUUCAAACAUAAAACCUGUACAUGUCAGAAUAAAAUUUAACAGAAGAAGAAAUUUAAAAAAGUAACAUGAACAUAAGUGAGAGAAGCAAUAAAAACACAAAAAUCAUCCAUAUUUGAUCAUCUGACUGAGGCUUAAUUUAAUGAUUGUAUAUUAAAUGAUUUUAAAGAUGUUGUUUAAUGGUUUGGCCGUCCUCUAUUCUCCAUAAAUUGCAGAAAAAUAGAUUUUUAAUACUAAAACAAUAAAACUUAAGGAAUAAAGUAGCUGAGAGGACAGGAAUGGAAAACUAAGAUAAAAGCGAUCCUUGUUUGCGUCCUGAAGAAUAUUUCUAAAAUUAAAAACAAAUCUCAGAAGUGAUCUGGUCUGUUUUUAUUUUUUUAUUUUCUAAACUUUUUUGUCUACAAAUACUUAGAAGAAAUAAAUAAACAGGUAAAUACAAGAAUGAUGCUUCUAAGAUUACAUAACACACCAGUGAGUGCAGGAUGAGCAGACUACAGGGUGCAGUUCCCCUGUCAGACAGCAGGUGUCGCCCUGCUGCCAGUUCAACACUAAGCACUUCUUAUUAUUAUUAUGAACCAUAGUGUGUAAUUUGAUGUUCUCUGAUGUGGUUUUAGUUGUAUGUGUGAGUGACUUGUGUGCGUGUGUUUUACUUUUAUUAACAUGAUGUUGUUGCAUGAAAAUCCAGCCCCCCUGCAGCUCCCCUGUCAUAACUCUUGGUGCCUCUGCUUUUCUGAAUAGUCUUGGACACUGAUGGCAUGUGAUCGCAUCUUCACAUCAGAUUAAACAUGGAGAAAAACGGAGGGGUUUGGGGGAUUAUAAAAUAUUGUACCCUCGACACAGACAAGCAUCUUAGCUUGAGGGAGAAAUGACAUUUGGUUGAGUCAGAACAAGAUAUUUCUGCAAAAUGUCUUGCAAAGGUCUGGAUUAAAUAGUCAGGGGUUUGUUGUCUGUUUUUAACUAAAGCUCAGAGGAAUAUUUGGGCGUCUGAUAGUGUCUUUCCAACCAUGUGAGUCUGAGUCUAGCAGAGCGGAGCGUUCUUUCCAUGGCCUUGUAAAGAUCUGAGCUGAUUGCAGACGACUGAUUCUGAUGAUGUUGCUCUCAUUGUUGAGAGGAGGAAGAAAUCUUAUGACUUUUCCAACGAUGAGUGUGUGAGCAUCUCAGAGAUAUCGAUGAGUGUGAUGAGCAGACAGACGCCCUGCAGCUCAGAGGACAGAAACAUACAGAGACAAUCAGUUUAUGUGUUUGUUUGUGGAUGACCUUUGACUUUCCCUGGCUGACACCUGCACUGAGAAAUCCUGCGAGAAUAUCAUAGUUCAGGGUUUUGAAUCAGAUUCUUGAAAACCAUACACCUCUAAUAAUUAGGAAGAAAGAGAGAGAACAGACCAAACAAGUGAAGGUCUGUGUGCUGUGAGGAUGUAAACAAACUCUUCAUGAAUCACGUGUUUUGGUUUUGAUGCAGGUUGCAAUUUCAGGAAAGCUCUGCUGCUUGAACGUGGAUUCAGUCAGACUGUAGAGGUCAGGUUUUAUUUCCAGGGUUAGAUCUGGAAGCUUAAGUUAGUUUAGGUCGAGAGAGAAGAGGUAACUUUUUUAAUUUUAACUUUCUGCUGUCGCCGAUAACAAAUUUUCUCAUUUAAAGAAGUCAAAUUUUGCCCUCUUGUGAAAACUAUCCCAGACUAUCUCUUAUCAACGACAUUUUUCUCAGCAUUGAAAUUAGGACACUUUUUAAUAACUACUGAAUAUUUUAUUUUUAUGUGCAGCCAUCAAUAAAAAAUUGAACAUAUAAUGAAUUUGUUUUAUUUUGUCAUUGUCCAAUAAUCAGUUAAAUAACUGGAAAUAAAAUAGUGAUAAUAUCUAGCAUUUUUAAACGUCUUCUGGGAAAUGUUUUGAGCUGUUAUUCAUUAUAAAAAUUAAAAAUAGAGUUUUUUAAAAAACAUUUGUUUUAUGUGUGAUGAGUAAGUGCUGUCAAAGAUCGAUUUAAAAAUGAUUAUUUGUACGGCUAAAUCCUUUAAAAGAAACUGGUUUAUUUUUGUUAUAUUCCUAUUUUCACUUUCUUGGCUUUUUGAAUUCUUAUAUUUACUCAUCUCUUUUUUCUAUUCACAUCUUAAAUAUAUAAAAACACUAUAAAUUAAUAUUUAAGCAUUAGGAAAUAAUUAAAAUUAAAAUAUAUUUAGUUUUUGCCUUAGGAAAAUUAAAUUUGAACAUACUCUUUCAAAUAGUUCAGUAUUAUUUAUUGUCUGUGAAUUUGAGAUGAAUCAGGCUUUUAUUUAAAGAUGACUGCAGCAACAUUAGAAGAUUGACUCUAGAUUAAUUUCCCUUAUUAUGAUUUUAUUAUUAAAAUUCUUAUUUUGUAUAAAUAUACAUUUUAAAUGCAGCCAGGGUCAUGAAAUAUAUCUCCAAAACAUUUUUUUAUUUUUUAAAAACAGUGGCAUUUAUAAUGUAUGAAUCUGUGCUCACUAAAAUAAUAUUGACAUUAGACUGACUUAUAUUCUUGUAUUGGUCCGGCUGCUUUUAUUUAAAAAAAGUCUGUUUUUAUUUCCUGCUGUUUUCUAUUUUAUUUGUUUUUCCUUUAUUUGGAGAGUCAGUAUUUAAAAUUAACAUGAUUGUAAUUGAAUGGAUGAAUUUUGCUUUAAAAUAAAUCAAAAACACUUUCAUUCAGCUGAUAUGAUUUAAGGUAAACUAGUUAUCAGCCUCAGUGUUAUUCUGAUAAUUCCUCCUCUUUAGACAGAAACACGUCCCGUCAGUAAAUAAAAGGGACCAGCUCGUCUCUCAUCACCUCUGACCUCUGACCUCUCAUACUUGUGGCUGUUUACUGCUGAAGUGUCUCUGGGUCAGGGAGUCAGCUGACUGACCGCGGAGUGAAAACAAGAAGGGACAUGUUUUUACUCCUUUGACCAGCAGGUGGCGCACAGCUUAAAGGCCUAGAAACAUCCACCAGGUCUGCUGUUAGAGCCAGAAUUUGGAAUAUUUUUUUUUUUUUCCCUUUAAAGUUUCACAAAAUAAAAAAAAUGUUUCUGAUUAAAUUUAAAUAAUUGUGUGAAGGUCAGGAACAGUAAAUUAAAAUCUCGGAUUUAAAAUAAUCUUCAUCCUCGUCCUGCUCGUCAUACUCUCAUCAUAUCUGUUCAUAAAUCAGCUGCAGAAUAACCUCCUUUAAUCAUUACUCUCUGUGUGAUUAAUAGAAUUAAAUUAGCGGUAAUAAAUAAUAAUUUUCUUAUUUAAUUAUUCAUGUGUCAUUAUCGUAUUUCAAAAGGACAGUCAUAUUAACCAGUGUCUGAUUUGUAAUACCUCUGUAUAUUCAAACAUGAUUUUAGUUCGUAUCUUAAGAGUUCAAAAGUCUUUUUAAAGUUUAUUUAUUUUUGAAAUGAAACAAAGUGAAACCACUUUAGAGUCUAUAAAUCCUCCAGAAGACUAAAAACAAAAGCUUAUUGGCAGACAGAACUCUGAAUUAAUAUUUAUUUUUAGUGAUUUCUAAAGCAGAACCAUCGGGCACUGUUGCAGAAAAACUCAAAUGGUUGUUCAUAUUGAUUAGAAGUGAACAGACUAUUAUCCUUACAGUCAACUGUUGUACGUUUAUCACUCUCACUCUCCAGAGCUGCACUAUAAUUCAGGUUUUUACAGGCAGAUGUUCAGAUGUCUUCACCAGUCUUACAGAUUUUCCCUCCCAGACCUCAGACGUUUUUCCUUAUCCUGUUUUGUGUCUCUCUACCGGCUUCCAUAUUUUUGCUUCAUGUGUUACAAAAGCUUGCAGCUUCCAUGCUGAUAAAUCAUCUGAACAUUGUAAGACAUACCUGCGGAUGUGUAAGUGACACAAAUAUGGCAUGAGUAUUUGUGUAAAGUUAAUUUCUCUACUUGUAUUAUCAUAACCAGACCAGCCUGUACUUCUCGGUGUCAGAGGGGUUAACCAAGCAGUGUUGUAGAUUUCAUUAAAAAAGGUUGUAAUUAUAGGUUUUCAUCAGUGAUAAAAAUGUAGUGAUUAAAGGGCUAAAAUUCCCUCUUUAAUAACAUAAAUUCUUAUGUGUGGUUUUCAUUAACAGAAUGAGACUGAAGUCUUAGUGUUGGACCAUCAGACGUUCAAAAUCCAUUGAGUGUUCCCUCAUGGCUCAUCUUAUCAGUCUGAAUACAGUCAUUGUGUUUCUCUAACAGGCUGACUUGGUUAAAGAGUUCAGCGUUAAAUUUUGCAUCUUAUCUGGAACAAGUUUGCUGCAGGUUCAAAUCCUUCAGGAUUUCCUUUUAUUGUCAUAAACGAUUAUUUUCCUGCUGAAUGUCAGUGAGAGUCACAACCAGGUGAUAACAGACGCUGAUGUUUUCCUCUGAUGUUACAGUUAAUAAUCCUGUAUCGAACUGUAGUAAAAGAGCAGUACAGGCCUUAUGUUCAUUUUAUCUUAAUCUGUGUGUAUUAAACUGUUCUCAGUAAUUUAGCAGGAGAAGAGUCGAGGUUAGAUGAUCAGAUUAAGUGAAAGAGAGAGAAUUGUUCCUGACAGAUUUUAGUGAAAAGAAAGAAAAUUAUUUGGCUGAAUAUGACCAACAUGUAACAUAAAAAGUAAUUAGGAAUAAAAACUGCAUUUUGGAUUAUUCUGGAGUUAGGGAUGGAGAAAGAAGAAUCAAUCGGCUGCUGUUCAAUCAGGCCAGAUUAAUGGCAUUUUUAAUAAUCGUCAUCGGCUCUCACUCCACUGAUAUCUUUUAAAAACACAUUUCUCUAAUCCCCGAUGACAGAAAAUUAAUUUAAAACUAAUGUUUGGUGUAAAUUCUGUACUGAUGGAGUUUAACUUAGCUUCAGACAUGGUCUUAAACCGAAACUGGUUAAUUACUGACCAUAAUAACUGUGUAUACGACAUUUGAAUAUGCUUGGAAUAAUGGAUUUAACUUUUUUUAUUUCUAAUAUUUAACUUUUUGAAGUCAAAAGUCCCUUUUAGGUAUUUUAUUACUCAGCCAAAUAUUUUCCUUCUUAUUUAUUUAUUAAAUUUUUACUUUCAGAUCUUUUCCUUCGUCCAAAAAACAGUAAACAAACAAACAAAUGAACACUUUAUUAUUUUGAGCCAACCUGCUCUCUCAUUAUCGGUACCGGUAUCAGGCCUUGAAUCAUCAAACAGUAGAUUGGCUAAUAUGCGUACACCCUUCUCUGGUUUCUUGCUCUAACACAGUUUUAUAGACGUGAAAAUCAAGAUAAAUACCAUAAGAAGAAGAAGAGGAGGGAGUGGGGGGAUUAGAAGACAGGGUUUCUGUUCACUGCAGGGUUCAAGACGAAAAGAGGGAGUAAAAGAGGGAGAGAGGAGGGAGAUACUGUAGAGAGAGGAGGGAAGGACGGGGUCAAAGGUCGCUCAUUUUUUAUCCAUUACUGCUCAGGGUCACAUUCUGGGCCAUGUCUGUGUGUGUGUGUGUGUGUGUGUGUGUGCGUGUGUGUGUGUGUGUGUGUGUGUGUCAAUCAUAACCAGAUAACCAGAUUAGAUCCGUUCUCACAAGUUUGUCUCCUCCAUCUUUCUUUCACUGACUAAAAAUAGCUUCAGCGUUUGUGUCUGUGUGUGUGUGUGUCUGAGGAGGAAAGGAGGAGGAGGAGGAGGAGGAAAAGGAUGAAGGCCGAGGAGGCGAAGAUGGAGUGGAGAGGAAGAGGAGAAGAAGUGGGCGAGAGGAGGAGACGGCGGGGAGGAGGUGUUUGUAUUUGACCGUGGGAUGACCUCCUCCCCGUCACCCGCUCACCUCUCCUUCACCUCCCUCCCUCCAUCCUUCAUCCUGGACAGAGGAGGCCCUACACACACACACACACACACACACACACACACACACACACACACACACACACACACACACAGCGUGGAUUGUCCUGGCAGUGACCUCUGCUCUGCUCAGCAGGAAUGUUGAAGGAGAGGAUGAGUGAACGACUGGGCUGCACACACAAACACAAAGGAGACAUACCAUACACACACACACACACACACACACACACACACACACACACUGAGUCAAAGACAUACACACACAUGCGCUCACACACACACACACACAUUUGGUUGCAAAAAUGUAAAAAUAGAAGAAAAUCUUUGAUAUCAGUGUGCGGGUUUCAGACGAGGAAAGAAAAGGUGUUGUGCACGUGCAAAAGGAAAUCUAACACACACACACACACACACACACACACACACUCAGGAUGAUAUAUGGGGAGUAAUCCACGGUGAGACCUGUAUAUACACACAGACAAUCAAAGGCAUGAGGCACACACACACACACACACACACACACGUUGAGGUGUUUAUGCAGCGCAGAUGUUGAACAGGAAACGAGCUGCGUUCAGGGACACAAACACACAGAGGAGUUCAUCUUAUUGAUCCUUCUGCUACAGUACCAAUCAAUACACACCUACUGUAUGUGCGCACACACACACACAUGCAGAGUCCUGGGGGAGUCAGGGGUCAGAAAUCAAUCUGAGGUCAAUCUGUGAGGCUGCAGUCACGCAGAGGGCAAAGGUCAGCCAGAGGGCACGUACUGUCAGAGAGCUAAGUAGCUGCAACAUGACGGGGGAUUAUACAGUUUUGCGAUAACGACAACACAUACACCCUGAGAUUUUUUUAAUCUUAGUGGGAAUUUUUGAGUUUUUUUAAAUCUUCACUUGUCUUGUACAGUAACCAGUGUAUAAGUUUGUACAUCAUCACCAUGACUAACUCUAAAAGCGCCGAUAAAGAAAGUUUAACUUGAGAUGAUAGCUCAAAACUCCACCUGAUCCUGACAUGGUCACACCUGAAGCUUGAAGUGUAGGUCUCCUGUUUACCAAAACGCCUCAGCUACAGCGAACAGUAUCUGCUUAAUCAUCCCCCUGCUUCACAAUUACAUUUAUAUUGAGCUAAAUGAAUCAUGUCUUCACGUAUUUCAGGUCAAAACUGGUCAAAUAGGAACAGUACUCAGCCCUGGGUUACUUGCAUAUAUAAUGCAAUAAUAUACAGUAUUUUUUCCUCUGAGGAUCCUGAUGCAAACUGUGUAGAAACAUACACUUAUACACACAAAUACACACAUAUAUACAUACUAAAGCUUACAUCAGAGGAGCCCCACGGUCAUUAUAACUUAAAUUAUAACUUAAAUAGCAGGUUAUAAUGAAUAUCGGUGCUGCAGAUCAGAAAAUCAAACAGCUUUAUGACAAACAGAACGAAUAUAACGCUCCGUAAUAUUUAUAUUUCUAUAUCAUCUGGAAAACUGCACAUAUUCAUGCUGUCUGUAAUUUUAUUUUCAAUCAUUUUACAAACAUGAAAGUGUUUAAGGAAACAAUGUGUGUGUGUGUGUGUGUGUGUGUGUGUGUGUGUGUGUGUGUGUGUGUGUGUGUGUGUGUGUUUAUACGCAGUGUUAAACAGUUUCAAAUGAGUCAUUACACUUGUUAUGAAAAGCAGCAUGCAUGUGUGUGCGCCUGCAUGUAUGUGUGUUUCCACAUGUGUGUGUGCGUACUGUACGUAUAUAUGUGUGUGUGUGUGUCACCAUAGCUACCCCGGCUCCAUAUAUUUCCCUACCAAAGCAGCAGGGAGCCUCAGACUGCCAUCCAUCUCUCUCUGCAGCCGCUCAGCGUGUGUGUGUGUGUGUAUGUGUGUGUGUCUGACCUCCUGAUGAACCAGCCUCCGAUUGCUACCCCAUCAUCCUUCUGCAGCACACACACACACAUGCACACACACACAUGUAUGGAGGUGCUAUAAAACAUACAGUAUGUAUGAACAUGACGACACACACAGCAGCGUGAAGGUGAUGUGUGUUUAAUGGGAUCCAGCUCUUUUUAAUCUGCUGCCUGCUGCACAGAUGGAAGAAACUGUGUGUGUGUGUGUGUGUGCGCGUGUGUGUGCGUGCGUGUGUGUGCCACAACAAAGAGACAAGAAAAAAGACAAAAAGGAAAGAUAAGAAAAAAAGGCAGCUAGAAAAGAAGAGAGAGAAAGAAGUGAAUUAGGUGAAUUUGAGGCUAAAUGCGAGCAGCUCUGCAGUAAAUGAAAACAGAGGGAAAGAGCAGAUGAAUAUAUGAUAAAGAAUAUGUGUCAGUACCAGCCGUUUAUAGCCCGCAGGGAGCCAGAUGAACUUUUCAACUCGCUUUUUUCCCCCUGCACGAUUCCUCGGCUUGGCCAUGUUCAAACGUCGGAUGAAUCCAAAUCCAGUUUGGAGAGUCUGCACAGUUAACGCACGGCACAGAUUGGUACUGGGCGCUCGUUUUCAAGCUUCAAGUUCACAUUUGAAGCCAGAAGUGACAAAUUUGGAUGAGAGGAGUGUGGGGUUGGAGAGGUCUGAGGUGUCUGCAAAGUUACACAAUCUGUGCCCGGCGCUGAUUCAUUAGCCGGUCAACUACCGUGCAGCACGCAGAAUGAGAUUCUGGUUCUGGUUUUGCUCAUAUCUCUGUGGAGAGGGUGAUCAGCAUCUAGUUUAACUCCUUAACUGGUUACCAGUUAUCUCAUCACUCCAGUCUGCUGUCUUCUCAGCAGGGCAGAGCCAACAACAACCCUUGACACUACUGCACAAGCAGCCAAAAAUGAACCAGUGUACAACAAACGCUGACCAAGCUAAAGAGAGUUUCACUUCAAACGUAGAGGUUUAAAAGUUCUGAACUUACACCGAGAUCAGACCAAAUAAUCUUUCUGUCCAUCGUCACAAUUACUGUCAGAUUAUGGGAUCACCUGACCGACACAUAACAAACUAUAUGGUGGUCGUUGUGGUGCUGCUGGAAGGCAGGGGGGGGGGGUUAGACAACACUUGGAAAAACUUAACAGUUACUGAUCAGGUGGCUAAAAUGCAUUUGCUAUUUCUCAAUAUUUCCUUUUUUUCCUUUUGCAGAUGCGGAUGUUCCUGCACGGCCCAGCUGUGAUCCAGCGUGCAUCCAUCAGGUA